UUUGAAAUUUGAUUUUUUUCAGGGGCAAAAGGAGCCUCUGCAUUGUUGUCAAAUAUGUAAAUAGCAUGUUUUUGCAGGUGCUAAAAAACAGACUCUGAGUGUGUGUGUGUGUGUGUGUGUGUGUGUGUGUGUGUGUGUGUGUGUGUGUGUGUGUGUGUGUGUGUGUCUGUGUUUGUGUGUGUCUGUGUGUGUGUAUCCUGCAGUACUCUGUACUCCUGCAGUGGCCAAAACGACUUUUAAGAAUGUGGAUAUUUGGGUCAUCUUUGGCGCCCCCUAGAACGUAAACCAUGGGGUGCAGCGGCAUGAUUUUUACAACUUUGAAUGGCCAUGGGAUGUAGAUCGGCUUGAGCAAAUUUGGUGUCGGUGGGAAGAAAGCCUUAGGAGGAGUUAGCCACAUUCCAAUGUGUGCGAAUCUGCAAAAAAUGCGAAAUAGCCCUUUAACCAUACAUUUUACAGAUACGUGCCCAUUGACUUUUUCGUAGAUCUUAUUGAGAUACACGUGAUUGUCAAAUUUUGGGUCAAUAUGACAAAGCGUAUAGGCGUGACACUCAACAAUGUGUAUUUUCACCUUAGGGGACAAGAAAAAAUGGACUUUUUUCUCCUGCCAUGUGGGGGCGCUCUUUUGGGGAGUAAAAAUUCCUUCACAAAUGUGUUGAUGGCUGGACAUUGCAUCAUCCUAGAGAACUUGGAGGCCAGUGAGGACAAAAAUAAAAAGUUAUAAGACUUUUAAGACUGUGGAUUUUUGGGUUAUCUUUGGCGCCCCCUAGAACGUAAACUGUGGGGUGCAGCGUCAUGAUUUGUACAACUUUUAAUGGCCAUGGGGUGUAGAUUGGCCUGAGCAAAUGUGGUGCCGGUGGAACGAAUGCCUUCGGAGGAGUUAGCGAAAUUCCAAUGUGUGCAGAUCGGCAAAAAAUGCGAAAUAACCCUCUAACUGUACAUUUCACAGAUGCGCCCGCGCUGACUUUUUCGUAGAACGUAUUGAGAUACACGUGUGUGUCAAUUUUUGUGUCAAUAUGACAAAGCGUACAGGCGUGACAGUCAAUAGUGUGAAUUUUCGCCUUAGGGGGCGCUAUGGAGCCAUUUUGCAUUUUAUUGUUUGGGCGACUUCAGAAUAUCGAAUUUUUCACCAGGCCCGGUCGUCCUGCCAAAUUUCAUGAGUUUUCGCCAGUGGGAAGUCGGCCAUUUUCCAGUUUAAAGCGGAGGAAAAAUAAUAAUAAUAACAAAAGAAGAAUCCAUCAGGAACAAGAGGGCUCUCGCAGCUGCUUAGCAGCUACGCUCGGGCCCUAAAGAAGGAAACUACAGGAACAAGAGGGCUCUCGCAGCUGCUUAGCAGCUACGCUCGGGCCCUAACAAAAGAAGGAAACAUGCAGGAACAAGAGGGCUCUCGCAGCUGCUUAGCAGCUACGCUCGGGCCCUAAUAAUAACACUAGGACCCCGUUGGGGCACUGGCGGGCCCGAGCUGUGUCGCGUCCCCCCCCCAACGCGCUGCCUCCCCGUCCCAUUUGUGUCCUCUGGCCAUCGCCCUCUCUGGUAACGCCCAUCACUGCAAAGACCCUUUUCCUUCAUCGGCGUUUGCUGUUCUUCCUGCCAGUGCGUGUUGCUUUCACUUACACUUGCCACAGCCAGCCUCGUGAGUGCCUAGCCUAUUGGAUAUCAAUGUCACCUACACAGGACAGUCAUUACCUUUCUAUUAAUACUUUGUGUUUUAAUUUCACAUUAAUUUCCAUAUUGUAUAAACAACUGGUAAAAACUUGAGCCCCUGCCCCUGUAUAAUCAUGUGCACGUCUCUGUUCUAGCUCUAAGGUGAAUCUUCACUGCUCAUGUUCUCCUCAGAAGCAGUCACCUCACUCCCCUCAGGUUACUGUACACAUGCAUCAACUGCCUGCUUCAGGUUUGGAUGGAGCUUCAUGGUUGUCUUUUGGAGAAAUGACCAGUCAAGUUGUGUUUGAAAUUUGAUUUUUUUCAGGGGCAAAAGGAGCCUCUGCAUUCUUGUCAAAUAUGUAAAUAGCAUGUUUUUGCAGGUGCUAAAAACCAGACUCUGAGUGUGUGUGUGUGCGUGUGUGUGUGUGUCUGUGUGUGUGUGUGUGUGUGUGUGUGUGUGUGUGUGUGUGUGUGUGUGUGUGUGCGUUCAAGUCACAUGACAUAUUUAACCGGAUGUAGCUGCAAGACGGAGCCUCGUUGACUCUCCAUUUCAACUUAUCUCAAAAGUGAGGACCUCAACCUAUAUACCAGUUUUUAAAUUGUGUUGAUAGGCCAAAUAAAACCAGAGUUAUGAUAAAUUAUGUCCGCGAUACUUGUUUUCUGCUUAUUUUGAUCACGUUCGGCGCUCGAUCGCGCUGUAUGAGACAGGAAAACAUAGCAUGCAGACAUUAGCGACAGGUCUUACAGGCGGAAAAGGCUUGCCAAAGGAAAAAAAAAACACACCACAACAUCUCUCCUAUUGGUGGAAAACUUCACCACAACAACCAAUCCAAAAUUAUAUGGUGACUGAUUGACAAGGGGCGGGCGCUUACGUUCUUCCUGCAAUAUGAGAAGGGAGGGAGGGACUCUCAGCAGGGAUGCAGUCUGGGACACGUAGUUGCAAACCUAGCGACUUUGUUGUUAGAUUCAAUGACUUUUCAGACCCCCUAACGACGUUUUUUUAGAAAGAAAGUGACUUUUAUCGACUUCUUCUGGAGUUUAGAGACUCUGACAUGAAGCAGGCUUUCCUUACUGAGGAGUUAGCAACGCUGCUAAGGGUGCAGAGCCACACAUGCGCUCCGAGCUCUGCAUGGGAGACUGAAGCUGACAGAGCUGCAGCAGUUAGCAGGUUUCACCCUCAGAGACCACCAGGGGUUCAUGUUGAGGCAUUUUCAGUUUUUUUUUUUUUUUUGCCAUAGACACUGUCAGCACAAUCUGCAGUUACACUAACAAAAAUGCUGCAAAAAACAAAGAAUUAUGGAAAAAUUACACAUGGACUGACAUAGAGGAGGAUCUACACAAGUUUUUUACAUCAUGUUUUACAUCAUGCAUCAUUUACAUCAUGUUUUUUUGUAGUGGCAUAAAUAAAAAGUGACAUUUGUGAGACUAUACAGUGUUUUGUAAAUAAUUUUACAAAGAACACCUGGGCCAUUGCCUGCAUUUUGAUGUAAAUAGAGGUAAAUUACUAUGUUCUUUGUUAAAAAUUUGCAUAUGUUUUGAAGUUUACAAUUUUUAUUUGAAGUUUAAGUUUUAAAAACAGUUCAUCACACAUAUUUGUGGUUUUCACAGUAAAAACGUUACUUUUUUGCACUCGGAUUUUAUGUUUUGUGUGUGAAUUUGGGUCCAAUGUGUAAAUAUAGUAUGUCAAAAUGAUAAAAUAACUGUAAAUUGACACAGGUGAGGUUGUGCUGAAAAAAAUGAUACCAGGCAAGGCAAGGUAAAAAUUUUGUAAGAGGAAAUAUAAAGGUAAAAUCUAAAGUAGUCAAAAACGGCCAAUAGUGACUCACAAACUCCACAGACAAGUCCCUUUGGCGCCACUCAGUGGGCAAAACUACUUUGUCUACUGUAAUGUAUAUUUGGGUCAUCUUUGGCGCCCCCUAAAACGUAAACCGUGGGGUGCCGCGUCAUGAUUUUUACAACUUUGAAUGGCCAUGGAGUGUAGAUUGGCCUGAGCAAAUUUGGUGUCAGUGGGACGAAAGCCUUAGGAGGAGUUAGCCACAUUCCAAUGUGUGCGAAUCGGCAAAAAAUGCAAAAUAGCCCUCUAACCAUACAUUUGACAGAUACGCACCCAUUGACUUUUUCGUAGAUCUAAUUGAGAUACACAUGAUUGUCAAUUUUUGUGUCAUUUUGCCAAAGCGUACAGGCGUGACAGUCAACAAUGUGUAUUUUCACCUUAGGGGACAAGAAAAAAUGGACUUUUUUCUCCUGCCAUGGGGGGGCGCUCUUUUAGGGAGUAAAAAUUCCUUCACAAAUGUGUUGAUGGCUGGACAUUGCAUCAUCCUAGAAAACUUGGAGGCCAGUGAGGACAAAAAUAAAAAGUUAUAAGACUUUUAAAAAUUUGGAUUUUUGGGUUAUCUUUGGCGCCCCCUAGAACGUAAACCGUGGGGUGCAGCGUCAUGAUUUGAAUAACUUUUAAUGGCCAUGGGGUGUAAUUUGGCCUGAGCAAAUGUGGUGCCGGUGGAACGAAAGCCUUCGGAGGAGUUAGCGAAAUUCCAAUGUGUGCGAAUCGGCAAAAAAUGCGGAAUAACCCUUUAACCGUACAUUUGACAGAUACGCGCCCAUUGAGUUUUUGUAGAUCUAAUUGAGAUACACAUGAUUGUCAAUUUUUGUGUCAUUUUGACAAAGCGUACAGGCGUGACACUCAACAAUGUGUAUUUUCACCUUAGGGGACAAGAAAAAAUGGACUUUUUUCUCCUGCCAUGGGGGGGCGCUCUUUUGGGGAGUAAAAAUUCCUUCACAAACGUGUUGAUGGCUGGACAUUGCAUCAUCCUAGAAAACUUGGAGGCCAGUGAGGACAAAAAUAAAAAGUUAUAAGACUUUGAAAUAUGUGGAUUUUAGUGUUAUCUUUGGCGCCCCCUAGAACCUAAACCGUGGGGUGCAGCGUCAUGAUUUGAAUAACUUUUAAUGGCCAUGGGGUGUAGAUUGGCCUGAGCAAAUGUGGUGCCGGUGGAACGAAAGCCUUAGGAGGAGUUAGCCACAUUCCAAUGUGUGCGGAUCGGCAAAAAAUGCGGAAUAACCCUUUAACCGUACAUUUGACAGAUACGCGCGCAUUGACUUUUUCGUAGAUCUUAUUGAGUUACAUGUGUGUGUCAAUUUUUGUGUCAUUUUGACAAAGCGUAUAGGCGUGACACUCAACAAUGUGUAUUUUCACCUUAGGGGACAAGAAAAAAUGGACUUUUUUCUUCUGCCAUGGGGGGGCGCUCUUUUGGGGAGUAAAAAUUCCUUCACAAAUGUGUUGAUGGCUGGACAUUGCAUCAUCCUAGAAAACUUGGAGGCCAGUGAGGAGAAAAAUAAAAAGUUAUAAGACUUUUAAAUAUGUGGAUUUUAGUGUUAUCUUUGGCGCCCCCUAGAACCUAAACCUUGGGGUGCAGCGUCAUGAUUUUGAUAACUUUUAAUGGCCACGGGGUGUAGAUUGGCCUGAGCAAAUGUGGUGCCGGUGGAACGAAAGCCUUCGGAGGAGUUAGCGAAAUUCCAAUGUGUGCGGGUCGGCAAAAAAUGCGCAAUAACCCUUUAACCAUACAUUUGACAGAUACGGCCGCACUGACUUUUUUGUAGAUCUUAUUAAGAUACAUAUGUGUGUCAAUUUUUGUGUCAAUAUGACAAAGCGUAAAGGCGUGACAGUCAAUAGUGUGAAUUUUCACCUUAGGGGGCGCUAUGGAGCCAUUUUGCAUUUUAUUGUUUGGGCGACUUCGGAAUAUCAAAUUUUUCACCAGGCCCGGUCAUCCUGCCAAAUUUCAUGAGUUUUCGCCAGUGGGAAGUGGGCCAUUUUCCAGUUCAAAGGGGAGGAAAAAGAAGAAAGAAAGAAACAAAGAAAAACCCCUUGGGGAAUAAUAGGGCUCUCGCAGCUGCUUAGCAGCUACGCUCGGGCCCUAACUAGGACCCCGUUGGGGCACUGGCGGGCCCGAGCCGUGUCGCGUCCCCCCCCCAAUGUGCUGCCUCCCCGUCCCAUUUGUGUCCUCUGGCCAUCGCCCUCUCUGGUAACGCCCAUCACUGCAAAGACCCAUUUCCUUCAUCGGCGUUUGCUGUUCUUCCUGCCAGUGCGUGUUGCUUUCACUUACACUUGCCACAGCCAGCCUCGUGAGUGCCUAGCCUAUUGGAUAUCACUGUCACCUACACAGGACAGUCAUUACCUUUCUAUUAAUACUUUGUGUUUUAAUUUCACAUUAAUUUCCAUAUUGUAUAAACGACUGGAAAAAACUUGAGCCCCUGCCCCUGUAUAAUCAUGUGCAUGUCUCUGUUCUAGCUCCAAGGUGAAUCUUCACUGCUCAUGUUCUCCUCAGAAGCACUCACCUCACUCCCCUCAGGUUACUGUACACAUGCACCAACUGCCUGCUUCAGGUUUGGAUGGAGCUUCAUGGUUGUCUUUUGGAGAAAUGACCAGUCAAGUUGUGUUUGAAAUUUGAUUUUUUUCAGGGGCAAAAGGAGCCUCUGCAUUCUUGUCAAAUAUGUAAAUAGCAUGUUUUUGCAGGUGCUAAAAACCAGACUCUGAGUGUGUGUGUGUGUGUGUGUGUGUGUGUGUGUGUGUGUGUGUGUGCGUGUGUGUGUGUCUGUGUGUGCGUUCAAGUCACAUGACAUAUUUAACCGGAUGUAGCUGCAAGACGGAGCCUCGUUGACUCUCCGUUUCAACUUAUCUCAAAAGUGAGGACCUCAACCUAUAUACCAGUUUUUAAAUUGUGUUGAUAGGCCAAAUAAAACCAGAGUUAUGAUAAAUUAUGUCCGCGAUACUUUUUUUCUGCUUAUUUUGAUCACGUUCGGCGCUCGAUCGCGCUGUAUGAGACAGGAAAACAUAGCAUGCAGACAUUAGCGACAGCUCUUACAGGCGGAAAAGGCUUGCCAAAAGAAAAAAAAAACACACCACAACAUCUCUCCUAUUGGUGGAAAACUUCACCAAAACAACCAAUCCAAAAUUAUAUGGUGACUGAUUGACAAGGGGCGGGCGCUUACGUUCUUCCUGCAACAUGAGAAGGGAGGGAGGGACUCUCAGCAAGGAUGCAGUCUGGGACACGUAGUUGCAAACCUAGCGACUUUGUUGUUAGAUUCAAUGACUUUUCAGACCCCCUAACGACUUUUUUUUUGAAACAAAGGGACUUUUAUCGACUUCUUCUGGAGUUUAGAGACUCUGACAUGAAGCAGGCUUUCCUUACUGAGGAGUUAGCAACGCUGCUAAGGGUGCAGAGCCACACAUGCGCUCCGAGCUCUGCAUGGGAGACUGAAGCUGACAGAGCUGCAGCAGUUAGCAGGUUUCACCCUCAGAGACCACCAGGGGUUCAUGUUGAGGCAUUUUAAUUUUUUUUUUUUUUGUGUGCCAUAGACACUGUCAGCACAAUCUGCAGUUACACUAACAAAAAUGCUGCAAAAAACAAAGAAUUAUGGAAAAAUUACACAUGGACUGACAUAGAGGAGGAUCUACACAAGUUUUUUACAUCAUGUUUUACAUCAUGCAUCAUUUACAUCAUGUUUUUUUGUAGUGGCAUAAAUAAAAAGUGACAUUUGUGAGACUAUACAGUGUUUUGUAAAUAAUUUUACAAAGAACGCCUGGGCCAUUGCCUGCAUUUUGAUGUAAAUAGAGGUAAAUCACUAUGUUCUUUGUUAAAAAUUUGCAUAUGUUUUGAAGUUUACAAUUUUUAUUUGAAGUUUAAGUUUUAAAAACAGUUCAUCACACAUAUUUGUGGUUUUCACAGUAAAAAUGUUACUUUUUUCCACUCGGAUUUUAUGUUUUGUGUGUGAAUUUGGGUCCAUUGUGUAAAUUCAGUAUGUCAACAUGAUAAAAUAACUGUAAAUUCGCACAGGUGAGGUUGUGCUGAAAAAAAUGAUACCAGGCAAGGCACGUGAUUGUCAAAUUUUGUGUCAAUAUGACAAAGCGUAUAGGCGUGAAUCUCAACAAUAUGUAUUUUCACCUUAGGGGACAAGAAAAAAUGGACUUUUUUCUCCUGCCAUGGGGGGGCGCUCUUUUGGGGAGUAAAAAUUCCUUCACAAAUGUGUUGAUGGCUGGACAUUGCAUCAUCCUAGAAAACUUGGAGGCCAGUGAGGACAAAAAUAAAAAGUUAUAAGACUUUUAAAUAUGUGGAUUUUAGGGUUAUCUUUGGCGCCCCCUAGAACCUAAACCGUGGGGUGCAGCGUCAUGAUUUUGAUAACUUUUAAUGGCCAUGGGGUGUAGAUUGGCCUGAGCAAAUGUGGUGCCGGUGGAACGAAAGCCUUAGGAGGAGUUAGCCACAUUCCAAUGUGUGCGGAUCGGCAAAAAAUGCGGAAUAACCCUUUAACCGUACAUUUGACAGAUACGCGUGCAUUGACUUUUUCGUAGAUCUUAUUGAGUUACAUGUGUGUGUCAAUUUUUGUGUCAUUUUGACAAAGCGUAUAGGCGUGACACUCAACAAUGUGUAUUUUCACCUUAGGGGACAAGAAAAAAUUGACUUUUUUCUCCUGCCAUGGGGGGGCGCUCUUUUGGGGAGUAAAAAUUCCUUCACAAAUGUGUUGAUGGCUGGACAUUGCAUCAUCCUAGAAAACUUGGAGGCCAGUGAGGACAAAAAUAAAAAGUUAUAAGACUUUUAAAUAUGUGGAUUUUAGUGUUAUCUUUGGCGCCCCCUAGAACCUAAACCUUGGGGUGCAGCGUCAUGAUUUUGAUAACUUUUAAUGGCCACGGGGUGUAGAUUGGCCUGAGCAAAUGUGGUGCCGGUGGAACGAAAGCCUUCGGAGGAGUUAGCGAAAUUCCAAUGUGUGCGGAUCGGCAAAAAAUGCGAAAUAACCCUUUAACCGUAAUUUUGACAGAUACGGCCGCACUGACUUUCUUGUAGAUCUUAUUGAGAUACAUAUGUGUGUCAAUUUUUGUGUCAAUAUGACAAAGCAAACAGGCGUGACAGUCAAUAGUGUGAAUUUCCACCUUAGGGGGCGCUAUGGAGCCAUUUUGCAUUUUAUUGUUUGGGCGACUUCAGAAUAUCGAAUUUUUCACCAGGCCCGGUCGUCCUGCCAAAUUUCAUGAGUUUUCGCCAGUGGGAAGUGGGCCAUUUUCCAGUUCAAAGGGGAGGAAAAAGAAGAAUGAAAGGGGAUACCGUGCUUCCUAAAAAUGGACCCCAGCGGUAGCAUGUAGAGGGAGAACAGUAAAGGGCCCAGGACUGACCCCUGGGGAACACCGCAUGUCAGAGGGGCAACGGAGGAGGAAAACUGUCCCAUGUAAACAGAGAAGGAUCUCCCAGAGAGGUAAGAUUUGAACCAGCUUAGGGCAGUCCCUUUUAUGCCAACACAGGCGAGAUAUGAGGAUUGAAUGAUCCACUGUAUCAAAUGCCGCUGUUAGGUCGAGGAGAAUUAAAAUGACACAGUUUCCAGAGUCCAGAUUUAACAAAAGAUAAUUAAAAACCUUUAAAAGAGCAGUUUCAGUGCUGUGAAGAGACUUAAAACCAGACUGAAACAAUUUGGAAACAUUGGCCCUCUGUAAAAACUCUUGGAGUUGGUUAAAAACGACUUUCUCUAAAACCUUGGAAAUAAAAGGAAGUUUAGAAAUAGGCCUAAAAUUAGAUAAAAUCAAGGGAUCCAGAUUUUUAUUUUUCAGGAGGGGCUGCACCAUGGCAUGUUUGAAAGAAGAUGGAACACACCCAGAGCUGAGACACUGAUUUAAAAGAAGUAAAAUAAAAGACUGAACUGAGGUGAAAACUUCCUUAAACAAACGGGAUGGAAUGCUGUCAGAGGGGCAGUUAGCAGGACGGAAGUGUUCCACUAUCUCAGUGAUUGCGGAGAGAGUAACAGGCUCAAACUGUUGAAAGACCGCAGAGCCUGCUGAAGGAACUGAGGGAUCCUGAGCAGAAAGAGAGAGUGGGGACCUAAGAACAGCAAUCAAACUGCAGGAAAUCCUCACACAGCAAUGAAGAGGGCUCAACACAAGCAGCAUCGCACGGAUUGACAAGAGCAUCAAAUACAUUAACUAGGACCCCGGUGGGGCACUGUCGGGCCCGAGCCGCGUCGCGCCGCCCCCAGCGCGACCGCCUCCCCCUCCCGAUCGCGUCACACUCAAGGUCCAAAGAUGGUGUGCGCACUUGUCUGUGGUCAUUUCCCAUUAUAAUGAAUGCGAGGCGCAGUUUCUACCAAAACACUCGCUGCAGACAAACUUCAUGUCCUAUUUGAAAAAAGUCUGGACCAUGAGUGAGGGCACAAACACAGCUAGGAUAUAUCCAAAUGGCAGGUUGCUCCUCGUUACGGUGUUGCCGGGAGAGUGAUGCGAUUGAGCCAUUGAGUGAUGGGCAGGAAAAACUUGACUGUUUCUCCUGCCAUGGGGGUUGGGGGAUGGGGGGGGGGGGUGGAUUCUUUUAAGAAUGUGGAUAUUUGGGUCAUCUUUGGCGCCCCCUAGAACGUAAACCGUGGGGUGCAGCGUCAUGAUUUUUACAACUUUGAAUGGCCAUGGGGUGUAGAUUGGCCUGAGCAAAUUUGGUGUCAGUGGGACGAAAGCCUUAGGAGGAGUUAGCCACAUUCCAAUGUGUGCGAAUCGGCAAAAAAUGCAAAAUAGCCCUUUAACCGUACAUUUUACAGAUACGCGCGCAUUGACUUUUUCGUAGAUCUUAUUGAGAUACAUGUGAUUGUCAAAUUUUGUGUCAAUAUGACAAAGCGUACAGGUAUGACAGUCAACAAUGUGUUUUUUCACCUUAGGGGACAAGAAAAAAUGGACUUUUUUCUCCUGCCAUGGGGGGCGCUCUUUUGGGGAGUAAAAAUUCCUUCACAAAUGUGUUGAUGGCUGGACAUUGCAUCAUCCUAGAAAACUUGGAGGCCAGUGAGGACAAAAAUAAAAAGUUAUAAGACUUUUAAAUAUGUGGAUUUUAGUGUUAUCUUUGGCGCCCCCUAGAACCUAAACCUUGGGGUGCAGCGUCAUGAUUUUGAUAACUUUUAAUGGCCACGGGGUGUAGAUUGGCCUGAGCAAAUGUGGUGCCGGUGGAACGAAAGCCUUCGGAGGAGUUAGCGAAAUUCCAAUGUGUGCGGAUCGGCAAAAAAUGCGAAAUAACCCUUUAACCGUACAUUUGACAGAUACGCCCGCGCUGACUUUUUUGUAGAUCUUAUUGAGAUACAUGUGUGUGUCAAUUUUUGUGUCAUUUUGACAAAGCGUACAGGCGUGACAGUGAAUAGUGUGAAUUUUCACCUUAGGGGGCGCUAUGGAGCCAUUUUGCAUUUUAUUGUUUGGGCGACUUCGGAAUAUCAAAUUUUUCACCAGGCCCGGUCGUCCUGCCAAAUUUCAUGAGUUUUCGCCAGUGGGAAGUGGGCCAUUUUCCAGUUCAAAGGGGAGGAAAAAGAAACUAGGGCCCCGGUGGGGCACUGUCGGGCCCGAGCCGCGUUGCGCCGCCCCCAGCGCGACCGCCUCCCCCUCCUGAACGCGUCACACUCAAGGUCCAAAGAUGGUGUGCGCACUUGUCUGUGGUCAUUUCCCAUUAUAAUGAAUGCGAGGCGCAGUUUCUACCAAAACACUCGCUGCAGACAAACUUCAUGUCCUAUUUGAAAAAAGUCUGGACCAUGAGUGAGGGCACAAACACAGCUAGGAUAUAUCCAAAUGGCAGGUUGCUCCUCGUUACGGUGUUGCCGGGAGAGUGAUGCGAUUGAGCCAUUGAGUGAUGGGCAGGAAAAACUUGACUGUUUCUCCUGCCAUGGGGGUUGGGGGAUGGGGGGGUGGAUUCUUUUAAGAAUGUGGAUAUUUGGGUCAUCUUUGGCGCCCCCUAGAACGUAAACCGUGGGGUGCAGCGUCAUGAUUUUUACAACUUUGAAUGGCCAUGGGGUGUAGAUUGGCCUGAGCAAAUUUGGUGUCAGUGGGACGAAAGCCUUAGGAGGAGUUAGCCACAUUCCAAUGUGUGCGAAUCGGCAAAAAAUGCAAAAUAGCCCUUUAACCGUACAUUUUACAGAUACGCGCGCAUUGACUUUUUCGUAGAUCUUAUUGAGAUACAUGUGAUUGUCAAAUUUUGUGUCAAUAUGACAAAGCGUACAGGUAUGACAGUCAACAAUGUGUUUUUUCACCUUAGGGGACAAGAAAAAAUGGACUUUUUUCUCCUGCCAUGGGGGGGCGCUCUUUUGGGGAGUAAAAAUUCCUUCACAAAUGUGUUGAUGGCUGGACAUUGCAUCAUCCUAGAAAACUUGGAGGCCAGUGAGGACAAAAAUAAAAAGUUAUAAGACUUUUAAAUAUGUGGAUUUUAGUGUUAUCUUUGGCGCCCCCUAGAACCUAAACCUUGGGGUGCAGCGUCAUGAUUUUGAUAACUUUUAAUGGCCACGGGGUGUAGAUUGGCCUGAGCAAAUGUGGUGCCGGUGGAACGAAAGCCUUCGGAGGAGUUAGCGAAAUUCCAAUGUGUGCGGAUCGGCAAAAAAUGCAAAAUAACCCUUUAACCGUAAUUUUCACAGAUACGGCCGCACUGACUUUUUUGUAGAUCUUAUUGAGAUACAUGUGUGUGUCAAUUUUUGUGUCAUUUUGACAAAGCGUACAGGCGUGACAGUGAAUAGUGUGAAUUUUCACCUUAGGGGGCGCUAUGGAGCCAUUUUGCAUUUUCUUGUUUGGGCGACUUCGGAAUAUCAAAUUUUUCACCAGGCCCGGUCGUCCUGCCAAAUUUCAUGAGUUUUCGCCAGUGGGAAGUGGGCCAUUUUCCAGUUCAAAGGGGAGGAAAAAGAAACUAGGGCCCCGGUGGGGCACUGUCGGGCCCGAGCCGCGUUGCGCCGCCCCCAGCGCGACCGCCUCCCCCUCCUGAACGCGUCACACUCAAGGUCCAAAGAUGGUGUGCGCACUUGUCUGUGGUCAUUUCCCAUUAUAAUGAAUGGGAGGCGCAGUUUCUACCAAAACACUCGCUGCAGACAAACUACAUGUCCUAUUUGAAAAAAGUCUGGACCAUGAGUGAGGGCACAAACACAGCUAGGAUAUAUCCAAACGGCAAGUUGCUCCUCGUUACGGUGUUGCCGGGAGAGUGAUGCGAUUGAGCCAUUGAGUGAUGGGCAGGAAAAACUUGACUGUUUCUCCUGCCAUGGGUGUUGGGUGAUGGGGGGGGGGGGGAUGUGGAUUCUUUUAAGAAUGUGGAUAUUUGGGUCAUCUUUGGCGCCCCCUAGAACGUAAACCGUGGGGUGCAGCGUCAUGAUUUUUAAAACUUUGAAUGGCCAUGGGGUGUAGAUUGGCCUGAGCAAAUUUGGUGUCAGUGGGACGAAAGCCUUAGGAGGAGUUAGCGAAAUUCCAAUGUGUGCGAAUCGGCAAAAAAUGCAAAAUAGCCCUUUUACCGUACAUUAUACAGAUACGCGCUCUUUGACUUUUUCGUAGAUCUAAUUGAGAUACACAUGAUUGUCAAUUUUUGUGUCAUUUUGCCAAAGCGUACAGGCGUGACAGUCAACAAUGUGUAUUUUCACCUUAGGGGACAAGAAAAAAUGGACUUUUUUCUCCUGCCAUGGGGGGGCGCUCUUUUGGGGAGUAAAAAUUCCUUCACAAAUGUGUUGAUGGCUGGACAUUGCAUCAUCCUAGAAAACUUGGAGGCCAGUGAGGACAAAAAUAAAAAGUUAUAAAACAUUUAAGAAUGUGGAUUUUUGGGUUAUUUUUGGCGCCCCCUAGAACCUAAACCAUGGGGUGCAGCAUCAUGAUUUGAAUAACUUUUAAUGGCCAUGGGGUGUAGAUUGGCCUGAGCAAAUGUGGUGCCGGUGGAACGAAAGCCUUCGGAGGAGUUAGCGAAAUUCCAAUGUGUGCGGAUCGGCAAAAAAUGCGAAAUAACCCUUUAACCGUAAUUUUGACAGAUACGGCCGCACUGACUUUUUUGUAGAUCUUAUUGAGAUACAUAUGUGUGUCAAUUUUUGUGUCAAUAUGACAAAGCGUACAGGCGUGACAGUCAAUAGUGUGAAUUUCCACCUUAGGGGGCGCUAUGGAGCCAUUUUGCAUUUUAUUGUUUGGGCGACUUCAGAAUAUCGAAUUUUUCACCAGGCCCGGUCGUCCUGCCAAAUUUCAUGAGUUUUCGCCAGUGGGAAGUGGGCCAUUUUCCAGUUCAAAGGGGAGGAAAAAGAAGAAAGAAAGAAAGAAAGAAAGAAAGAACUAGGGCCCCGUUGGGGCACUGGCGGGCCCGAGCCACGUUGCGCCGCCCCCAGUGCGACCGCCUCCCCCUCCCGAUCGUGUCACACUCAAGGUCCAAAGAUGGUGUGCGCACUUGUCUGUGGUCAUUUCCCAUUAUAAUGAAUGGGAGGCGCAGUUUCUACCAAAACACUCGCUGCAGACAAACUACAUGUCCUAUUUGAAAAAAGUCUGGACCAUGAGUGAGGGCACAAACACAGCUAGGAUAUAUCCAAACGGCAAGUUGCUCCUCGUUACGGUGUUGCCGGGAGAGCGAUGCGAUUGAGCCAUUGAGUGAUGGGCAGGAAAAACUUGACUGUUUCUCCUGCCAUGGGGGAUGGGGGAUGGGGGAUGGGGGAUGGGGGGGGGGGGGGGAUGUGGAUUCUUUUAAGAAUGUGGAUAUUUGGGUCAUCUUUGGCGCCCCCUAGAACGUAAACCGUGGGGUGCAGCGUCAUGAUUUUUAAAACUUUGAAUGGCCAUGGGGUGUAGAUUGGCCUGAGCAAAUUUGGUGUCAGUGGGACGAAAGCCUUAGGAGGAGUUAGCCACAUUCCAAUGUGUGCUAAUCGGCAAAAAAUGCAAAAUAGCCCUUUAACCGUACAUUUUACAGAUACGCGCGCAUUGACUUUUUCGUAGAUCUUAUUGAGAUACAUGUGUGUGUCAAAUUUUGUGUCAAUAUGACAAAGCAUACAGGUAUGACAGUCAACAAUGUGUAUUUUCACCUUAUGGGACAAGAAAAAAUGGACUUUUUUCUCCUGCCAUGGGGGGGCGCUCUUUUGGGGAGUAAAAAUUCCUUCACAAAUGUGUUGAUGGCUGGACAUUGCAUCAUCCUAGAAAACUUGGAGGCCAGUGAGGACAAAAAUAAAAAGUUAUAAGACUUUUAAAUAUGUGGAUUUUAGGGUUAUCUUUGGCGCCCCCUAGAACCUAAACCGUGGGGUGCAGCGUCAUGAUUUGAAUAACUUUUAAUGGCCAUGGGGUGUAGAUUGGCCUGAGCAAAUGUGGUUCUGGUGGAACGAAAGCCUUCGGAGGAGUUAGCGAAAUUCCAAUGUGUGCGGAUCGGCAAAAAAUGCGCAAUAACCCUUUAACCUUACAUUUGACAGAUACGCCCGCACUGACUUUUUUGUAGAUCUUAUUGAGAUACAUGUGUGUGUCAAUUUUUGUGUAAUUUUGACAAAGCGUACAGGCGUGACAGUCAAUAGUGUGAAUUUUCACCUUAUGGGACAAGAAAAAAUGGACUUUUUUCUCCUGCCAUGGGGGGGCGCUCUUUUGGGGAGUAAAAAUUCCUUCACAAAUGUGUUGAUGGCUGGACAUUGCAUCAUCCUAGAAAACUUGGAGGCCACUGAGGGCAAAAAUAAAAAGUUAUAAGACUUUGAAAUAUGUGGAUUUUAGGGUUAUUUUUGGCGCCCCCUAGAACCUAAACCGUGGGGUGCAGCGUCAUGAUUUGAAUAACUUUUAAUGGCCAUGGGGUGUAGAUUGGCCUGAGCAAAUGUGGUGCCGGUGGAACGAAAGCCUUCGGAGGAGUUAGCGAAAUUCCAAUGUGUGCGGAUCGGCAAAAAAUGCGCAAUAACCCUUUAACCGUACAUUUGACAGAUACGCCCGCACUGACUUUUUUGUAGAUCUUAUUGAGAUACAUGUGUGUGUCAAUUUUUGUGUAAUUUUGACAAAGCGUACAGGCGUCAGGUGAAUUUUUCACCUUAGGGGGCGCUAUGGAGCCAUUUUGCAUUGUAUUGUUUGGGCGACUUCAGAAUAUCGAAUUUUUCACCAGGCCCGGUCGUCCUGCCAAAUUUCCUGAGUUUUCGCCAGUGGGAAGUGGGCCAUUUUCCAGUUUAAAGGGGAGGAAAAAUAAUAAUAACAAAAGAAGGAAACAUGCAGGAACAAGAGGGCUCUCGCAGCUGCUUAGCAGCUACGCUCGGGCCCUAAAGAAAGAAACAAAGAAAAACCACUUGGGGAAUAAUAGGGCCUACGCCCGGCUGCUCUGCAGCUGGCUCGGGCCCUAAAGAAAGAAAGAAAGAAAGAAAGAAACAAAGAAAAACCACUUGGAGAAUAAUAGGGCUCUCGCAGCUGCUUAGCAGCUACGCUCGGGCCCUAACUAGGACCCCGUUGGGGCACUGGCGGGCCCGAGCUGUGUCGCGUCCCCCCCCCAACGCGCUGCCUGCCCGUCCCAUUUGUGUCCUCUGGCCAUCGCCCUCUUUGGUAACGCCCAUCACUGCAAAGACCCUUUUCCUUCAUCGGCGUUUGCUGUUCUUCCUGCCAGUGCGUGUUGCUUUCACUUACACUUGCCACAGCCAGCCUCGUGAGUGCCUAGCCUAUUGGAUAUCACUGUCACCUACACAGGACAGUCAUUACCUUUCUAUUAAUACUUUGUUUUUUAAUUUCACAUUAAUUUCCAUAUUGUAUAAACAACUGGAAAAAACUUGAGCCCCUGCCCCUGUAUAAUCAUGUGCACGUCUCUGUUCUAGCUCUAAGGUGAAUCUUCACUGCUCAUGUUCUCCUCAGAAGCAGUCACCUCACUCCCCUCAGGUUACUGUACACAUGCACCAACUGCCUGCUUCAGGUUUGGAUGGAGCUUCAUGGUUGUCUUUUGGAGAAAUGACCAGUCAAGUUGUGUUUGAAAUUUGAUUUUUUUCAGGGGCAAAAGGAGCCUCUGCAUUCUUGUCAAAUAUGUAAAUAGCAUGUUUUUGCAGGUGCUAAAAACCAGACUCUGAGUGUGUAUGUGUGCGUGUGUGUGUGUGUCUGUAUGUGUGUGUGUGUGUGUGUGUGUGUGCGUUCAAGUCACAUGACAUAUUUAACCGGAUGUAGCUGCAAGACGGAGCCUCGUUGACUCUCCGUUUCAAUUUAUCUCAAAAGUGAGGACCUCAACCUAUAUACCAGUUUUUAAAUUGUGUUGAUAGGCCAAAUAAAACCAGAGUUAUGAUAAAUUAUGUCCGCGAUACUUGUUUUCUGCUUAUUUUGAUCACGUUCGGCGCUCGAUCGCGCUGUAUGAGACAGGAAAACAUAGCAUGCAGACAUUAGCGACAGGUCUUACAGGCGGAAAAGGCUUGCCAAAGGAAAAAAAAAACACACCACAACAUCUCUCCUAUUGGUGGAAAACUUCACCACAACAACCAAUCCAAAAUUAUAUGGUGACUGAUUGACAAGGGGCGGGAACUUACGUUCUUCCUGCAAUAUGAGAAGGGAGGGAGGGACUCUCAGCAGGGAUGCAGUCUGGGACACGUAGUUGCAAACCUAGCGACUUUGUUGUUAGAUUCAAUGACUUUUCAGACCCCCUAACGACUUUUUUUUAGAAAGAAAGUGACUUUUAUCGACUUCUUCUGGAGUUUAGAGACUCUGACAUGAAGCAGGCUUUCCUUACUGAGGAGUUAGCAACGCUGCUAAGGGUGCAGAGCCACACAUGCGCUCCGAGCUCUGCAUGGGAGACUGAAGCUGACAGAGCUGCAGCAGUUAGCAGGUUUCACCCUCAGAGACCACCAGGGGUUCAUGUUGAGGCAUUUUAAAAAAAUUUUUUGUGUGCCAUAGACACUGUCAGCACAAUCUGCAGUUACACUAACAAAAAUGCUGCAAAAAACAAAGAAUUAUGGAAAAAUUACACAUGGACUGACAUAGAGGAGGAUCUACACAAGUUUUUUACAUCAUGUUUUACAUCAUGCAUCAUUUACAUCAUGUUUUUUUGUAGUGGCAUAAAUAAAAAGUGACAUUUGUGAGACUAUACAGUGUUUUGUAAAUAAUUUUACAAAGAACGCCUGGGCCAUUGCCUGCAUUUUGAUGAAAAUAGAGGUAAAUCACUAUGUUCUUUGUUUAAAAUUUGCAUAUGUUUUGAAGUUUACAAUUUUUAUUUGAAGUUUAAGUUUUAAAAACAGUUCAUCACACAUAUUUGUGGUUUAAUUUCACAUUAAUUUCCAUAUUAUAUAAAUGACUGGAAAAAACUUGAGCCCCUGCCCCUGUAUAAUCAUGUGCACGUCCCUGUUCUAGCUCCAAGGUGAAUCUUCACUGCUCAUGUUCUCCUCAGAAAUAGUCACCUCACUCCCCUCAGGUUACUGUACACAUGCACCAACUAUCUGCUUCAGGUUUGAAAUGGAGCUUCAUGGUUGUCUUUUGGAGAAAUGAACAGUCAAGUUGUGUUUGAAAUUUGAUUUUUUUCAGGGGCAAAAGGAAGCCUCUGCAUUCUUGUCAAAUAUGUAAACAGCAUGUUUUUGCAGGUGCUAAAAAACAGACUCUGAGUGUGUGUGUGAAUCUGUGUGUGUGUGUGUGUGUGUGUGUGUGUGUGUGUAUGUUGGCGUGUGUGUAUAUGUGUGUGUAUCCUGCAGUACUCUGUACUCCUGCAGUGGCCAAAAAGACUUUUAAGAAUGUGGAUUUUUGGGUCAUCUUUGGCGCCCCCUAGAACUGCAGUACUCUGUACUCCUGCAGUGGCCAAAAUGACUUUUAAGAAUGUGGAUUUUUGGGUCAUCUUUGGCGCCCCCUAGAACGUAAACCGUGGGGUGCAGCGUCAUGAUUUUUACAACUUUGAAUGGGCAUGGGGUGUAGAUUGCCCUGAGCAAAUUUGGUAUCGGUGGGACGAAAGCCUUAGGAGGAGAUAGCCACAUUCCAAUGUGUGCGAAUCGGCAAAAAAUGCAAAAUAGCCCUUUAACCGUACAUUAUACAGAUACGCGCUCUUUGACUUUUUCGUAGAUCUAAUUGAGAUACACAUGAUUGUCAAUUUUUGUGUCAAUAUGACAAAGCGUUCAGGCGUGACACUCAACAAUGUGUAUUUUCAUGUAAGGGGACAAGAAAAAAUUGACUUUUUUCUCCUACCAUGGGGGGGCGCUCUUUUGGGGAGUAAAAAUUCCUUCACAAAUGUGUUGAUGGCUGGACAUUGCAUCAUCCUAGAAAACUUGGAGGCCAGUGAGGACAAAAAUAAAAAGUUAUAAGACUUUUAAAUAUGUGGAUUUUAGUGUUAUUUUUGGCGCCCCCUAGAACCUAAACCAUGGGGUGCAGCGUCAUGAUUUUGAUAACUUUUAGUGGCCACGGGGUGUAGAUUGGCCUGAGCAAAUGUGGUGCCGGUGGAACGAAAGCCUUCGGAGGAGUUAGCGAAAUUCCAAUGUGUGCGGAUCGGCAAAAAAUGCAAAAUAACCCUUUAACCGUAAUUUUCACAGAUACGGCCGCACUGACUUUUUUGUAGAUCUUAUUGAGAUACAUGUGUGUGUCAAUUUUUGUGUCAUUUUGACAAAGCGUACAGGCGUGACAGUCAAUAGUGUGAAUUUCCACCUUAGGGGGCGCUAUGGAGCCAUUUUGCAUUUUAUUGUUUUGGCGACUUCAGAAUAUCGAAUUUUUCACCAGGCCCGGUCGUCCUGCCAAAUUUCAUGAGUUUUCGCCAGUGGGAAGUGGGCCAUUUUCCAGUUCAAAGGGGAGGAAAAAGAAGAAACUAGGGCCCCGUUGGGGCACUGGCGGGCCCGAGCCGUGUCACGCCGCCCCCAGCGCGACCGUCUCCCCAACCCGAUCGCGUCACACUCAAGGUCCAAAGAUGGUGUGCGCACUUGUUUGUGGUCAUUUACCAUUAUAAUGAACGGGAGGCGCAGUUUCUACCAAAACGCUCGCUGCAGAAAAACUCCAUGUCCUAUUUGAAAAGAGUCUGGACCAUGAGUGAGGGCACAAACACAGCUAAGAUAUAUCCAAAUGGCAAGUUGCUCCUCCUUUCGCUUUUGCCGAGAGAGCAGUGCGUUUGAGCCAUUGAAUGAUGAACAGGAAAAACUUGACUUUAUUCUCCUGCCAUGGGGGGGCGCUCUUUUAAAGAGAAAAAACUCCUUCACAAAUGUGUUGAUGGCUGGACAUUGCAUCAUCCUAGAAAACAUGGGGGCCAGUGAGGACAAAAAUAAAAAGUUAUAAGACUUUUAAAUAUGUGGAUUUUAGGGUUAUAUUUGGCGCCCCCUAGAACCUAAACCGUGGGGUGCAGCGUCAUGAUUUGAAUAACUUUUAAUGGCCAUGGGGUGUAGAUUGGCCUGAGCAAAUGUGGUGCCGGUGGAACGAAAGCCUUCGGAGGAAUUAGCGAAAUUCCAAUGUGUGCGAAUCUGCAAAAAAUGCGAAAUAACCCUUUAACCGUACAUUUUACAGAUACGUGGCCAUUGACUUUUUCGAAGAUCUUAUGUAAAUACACGUGUAUGUAAAAUUUUGUGUCAAUACGACAAAACAUACAGGCGUAGCACUCAACAAUGUGUAUUUUCACCUUAGUGGACAAGAAAAAAUUGACUUUUUUCUCCUGCCAUGGGGGGGCGCUCUUUUGCCGAGUAAAAAUUCCUUCACAAAUGUGUUGAUGGCUGGACAUUGCAUCAUCCUAGAAAACUUGGAGGCCAGUGGGGACAAAAAUAAAAAGUUAUAAGACUUUUAAAUAUGUGGAUUUUACGGUUAUCUUUGGCUCCCCCUAGAACCUAAACCGUGGGGUGCAGCGUCAUGAUUUGAAUAACUUUUAAUGGCCAUGGGGUGUAGAUUGGCCUGAGCAAAUGUGGUGCCGGUGGAACGAAAGCCUUCGGAGGAGUUAGCGAAAUUCCAAUGUGUGCGGAUCGGCAAAAAAUGCGGAAUAACCCUUUAACCGUACAUUUGACAGAUACGCGCGCAUUGACUUUUUCGUAGAUCUUAUUGAGAUACAUGUGUGUGUCAAUUUUUGUGUCAUUUUGCCAAAGCGUACAGGCGUGACACUCAACAAUGUGUAUUUUCACCUUAGGGGACAAGAAAAAAUGGACUUUUUUCUCCUGCCAUGGGGGGGCGCUCUUUUGGGGAGUAAAAAUUCCUUCACAAAUGUGUUGAUGGCUGGACAUUGCAUCAUCCUAGAAAACUUGGAGGCCAGUGAGGGCAAAAAUAAAAAGUUAUAAGACUUUUAAAUAUGUGGAUCUUAGGGUUAUCUUUGGCGCCCCCUAGAACCUAAACCGUGGGGUGCAGCGUCAUGAUUUGAAUAACUUUUAAUGGCCAUGGGGUGUAGAUUGGCCUGAGCAAAUGUGGUGCCGGUGGAACGAAAGCCUUCGGAGGAGUUAGCGAAAUUCCAAUGUGUGCGGAUCGGCAAAAAAUGCGAAAUAACCCUUUAACCGUACAUUUGACAGAUACGCCCGCACUGACUUUUUUGUAGAUCUUAUUGAGAUACAUGUGUGUGUCAAUUUUUGUGUCAUUUUGACAAAGCGUACAGGCGUGACAGUCAAUAGUGUGAAUUUUCACCUUAGGGGGCGCUAUGGAGCCAUUUUGCAUUUUCUUGUUUGGGCGACUUCGGAAUAUCAAAUUUUUCACCAGGCCCGGUCGUCCUGCCAAAUUUCAUGAGUUUUCGCCAGUGGGAAGUGGGCCAUUUUCCAGUUCAAAGGGGAGGAAAAAUAAUAAUAACUAGGACCCCGUUGGGGCACUGGCGGGCCCGAGCCGUGUCGCGUCCCCCCCCCCCCCCCCAACGUGCUGCCUCCCCGUCCCAUUUGUGUCCUCUGGCCAUCGCCCUCUCUGGUAACGCCCAUCACUGCAAAGACCCUUUUCCUUCAUCGGCGUUUGCUGUUCUUCCUGCCAGUGCGUGUUGCUUUCACUUACACUUGCCACAGCCAGCCUCGUGAGUGCCUAGCCUAUUGGAUAUCACUGUCACCUACACAGGACAGUCAUUACCUUUCUAUUAAUACUUUGUGUUUUAAUUUCACAUUAAUUUCCAUAUUGUAUAAACGACUGGAAAAAACUUGAGCCCCUGCCCCUGUAUAAUCAUGUGCAUGUCUCUGUUCUAGCUCCAAGGUGAAUCUUCACUGCUCAUGUUCUCCUCAGAAGCAGUCACCUCACUCCCCUCAGGUUACUGUACACAUGCACCAACUGCCUGCUUCAGGUUUGGAUGGAGCUUCAUGGUUGUCUUUUGGAGAAAUGACCAGUCAAGUUGUGUUUGAAAUUUGAUUUUUUUCAGGGGCAAAAGGAGCCUCUGCAUUCUUGUCAAAUAUGUAAAUAGCAUGUUUUUGCAGGUGCUAAAAACCAGACUCUGAGUGUGUGUGUGUGUGUGUGUGUGUGUGUGUGUGUGUGUGUGUGUGUGUGUGUCUGUGUGUGCGUUCAAGUCACAUGACAUAUUUAACCGGAUGUAGCUGCAAGACGGAGCCUCGUUGACUCUCCGUUUCAACUUAUCUCAAAAGUGAGGACCUCAACCUAUAUACCAGUUUUUAAAUUGUGUUGAUAGGCCAAAUAAAACCAGAGUUAUGAUAAAUUAUGUCCGCGAUACUUUUUUCUGCUUAUUUUGAUCACGUUCGGCGCUCGAUCGCGCUGUAUGAGACAGGAAAACAUAGCAUGCAGACAUUAGCGACAGGUCUUACAGGCGGAAAAGGCUUGCCAAAAGAAAAAAAAAACACACCACAACAUCUCUCCUAUUGGUGGAAAACUUCACCACAACAACCAAUCCAAAAUUAUAUGGUGACUGAUUGACAAGGGGCGGGCGCUUACGUUCUUCCUGCAACAUGAGAAGGGAGGGAGGGACUCUCAGCAGGGAUGCAGUCUGGGACACGUAGUUGCAAACCUAGCGACUUUGUUGUUAGAUUCAAUGACUUUUCAGACCCCCUAACGACUUUUUUUUAGAAAGAAAGGGACUUUUAUCGACUUCUUCUGGAGUUUAGAGACUCUGACAUGAAGCAGGCUUUCCUUACUGAGGAGUUAGCAACGCUGCUAAGGGUGCAGAGCCACACAUGCGCUCAGAGCUCUGCAUGGGAGACUGAAGCUGACAGAGCUGCAGCAGUUAGCAGGUUUCACCCUCAGAGACCACCAGGGGUUCAUGUUGAGGCAUUUUAAUUUUUUUUUUUUUUGUGCCAUAGACACUGUCAGCACAAUCUGCAGUUACACUAACAAAAAUGCUGCAAAAAACAAAGAAUUAUGGAAAAAUUACACAUGGACUGACAUAGAGGAGGAUCUACACAAGUUUUUUACAUCAUGUUUUACAUCAUGCAUCAUUUACAUCAUGUUUUUUUGUAGUGGCAUAAAUAAAAAGUGACAUUUGUGAGACUAUACAGUGUUUUGUAAAUAAUUUUACAAAGAACGCCUGGGCCAUUGCCUGCAUUUUGAUGAAAAUAGAGGUAAAUUACUAUGUUCUUUGUUAAAAAUUUGCAUAUGUUUUGAAGUUUACAAUUUUUAUUUGAAGUUUAAGUUUUAAAAACAGUUCAUCACACAUAUUUGUGGUUUAAUUUCACAUUAAUUUCCAUAUUGUAUAAAUGACUGGAAAAAACUUGAGCCCCUGCCCCUGUAUAAUCAUGUGCACGUCCCUGUUCUAGCUCCAAGGUGAAUCUUCACUGCUCAUGUUCUCCUCAGAAAUAGUCACCUCACUCCCCUCAGGUUACUGUACACAUGCACCAACUAUCUGCUUCAGGUUUGAAAUGGAGCUUCAUGGUUGUCUUUUGGAGAAAUGAACAGUCAAGUUGUGUUUGAAAUUUGAUUUUUUUCAGGGGCAAAAGGAGCCUCUGCAUUCUUGUCAAAUAUGUAAACAGCAUGUUUUUGCAGGUGCUAAAAAACAGACUCUGAGUGUGUGUGUGUGUGUGUGUGUGUAUGUUGGCGUGUGUGUAUAUGUGUGUGUAUCCUGCAGUACUCUGUACUCCUGCAGUGGCCAAAAAGACUUUUAAGAAUGUGGAUUUUUGGGUCAUCUUUGGCGCCCCCUAGAACUGCAGUACUCUGUACUCCUGCAGUGGCCAAAAUGACUUUUAAGAAUGUGGAUUUUUGGGUCAUCUUUGGCGCCCCCUAGAACGUAAACCGUGGGGUGCAGCGUCAUGAUUUUUACAACUUUGAAUGGGCAUGGGGUGUAGAUUGCCCUGAGCAAAUUUGGUAUCGGUGGGACGAAAGCCUUAGGAGGAGAUAGCCACAUUCCAAUGUGUGCGAAUCGGCAAAAAAUGCAAAAUAGCCCUUUAACCGUACAUUAUACAGAUACGCGCUCUUUGACUUUUUCGUAGAUCUAAUUGAGAUACACAUGAUUGUCAAUUUUUGUGUCAAUAUGACAAAGCGUUCAGGCGUGACACUCAACAAUGUGUAUUUUCAUGUAAGGGGACAAGAAAAAAUUGACUUUUUUCUCCUACCAUGGGGGGGCGCUCUUUUGGGGAGUAAAAAUUCCUUCACAAAUGUGUUGAUGGCUGGACAUUGCAUCAUCCUAGAAAACUUGGAGGCCAGUGAGGACAAAAAUAAAAAGUUAUGAAACAUUUAAGAAUGUGGAUUUUUGGGUUAUUUUUGGCGCCCCCUAGAACCUAAACCAUGGGGUGCAGCAUCAUGAUUUGAAUAACUUUUAAUGGCCAUGGGGUGUAGAUUGGCUUGAGCAAAUGUGGUGCCGGUGGAACGAAAGCCUUCGGAGGAGUUAGCGAAAUUCCAAUGUGUGCGUGUCGGCAAAUAAUGCGGAAUAACCCUUUAACUGUACAUUUGACAGAUACGCGCACGUGGACUUUUUUGUAGAUCUUAUUGAGUUACAUGUGUGUGUCAAUUUUUGUGUCAUUUUGACAAAGCGUAUAGGCGUGACACUCAACAAUGUGUAUUUUCACCUUAGGGGACAAGAAAAAAUGGACUUUUUUCUCCUGCCAUGGGGGGGCGCUCUUUUGGGGAGUAAAAAUUCCUUCACAAAUGUGUUGAUGGCUGGACAUUGCAUCAUCCUAGAAAACUUGGAGGCCAGUGAGGACAAAAAUAAAAAGUUAUAAGACUUUUAAAUAUGUGGAUUUAAGGGUUAUCUUUGGCGCCCCCUAGAACCUAAACCUUGGGGUGCAGCGUCAUGAUUUUGAUAACUUUUAAUGGCCACGGGGUGUAGAUUGGCCUGAGCAAAUGUGGUGCCGGUGGAACGAAAGCCUUCGGAGGAGUUAGCGAAAUUCCAAUGUGUGCAGAUCGGCAAAAAAUGCGUAAUAACCCUUUAACCGUACAUUUGACAGAUACGCCCGCACUGACUUUUUUGUAGAUCUUAUUGAGAUACAUGUGUGUGUCAAUUUUUGUGUCAUUUUGACAAAGCGUACAGUCGUGACAGUGAAUAGUGUGAAUUUUCACCUUAGGGGGCGCUAUGGAGCCAUUUUGCAUUUUAUUGUUUUGGCGACUUCAGAAUAUCAAAUUUUUCACCAGGCCCGGUCGUCCUGCCAAAUUUCAUGAGUUUUCGCCAGUGGGAAGUGGGCCAUUUUCCAGUUCAAAGGGGAGGAAAAAGAAAAAAGAAAGAAAGAAACAAAGAAAAACCACUUGGGGAAUAAUAGGGCCUACGCCCGGCUGCUCUGCAGCUGGCUCGGGCCCUAACUAGGACCCCGGUGGGGCACUGUCGGGCCCGAGCCGCGUUGCGCUGCCCCCAGCGCGACCGCCUACCCCUCCCGAUCGCGUCACACUCAAGGUCCAAAGAUGGUGUGCGCACUUGUCUGUGGUCAUUUCCCAUUAUAAUGAAUGGGAGGCGCAGUUUCUACCAAAACACUCGCUGCAGACAAACUACAUGUCCUAUUUGAAAAAAGUCUGGACCAUGAGUGAGGGCACAAACACAGCUAGGAUAUAUCCAAACGGCAAGUUGCUCCUCGUUACGGUGUUGCCGGGAGAGUGAUGCGAAUGAGCCAUUGAGUGAUGGGCAGGAAAAACUUGACUGUUUCUCCUGCCAUGGGGGAUGGGGGAUGGGGGGGGAUGUGGAUUCUUUUAAGAAUGUGGAUAUUUGGGUCAUCUUUGGCGCCCCCUAGAACGUAAACCGUGGGGUGCAGCGUCAUGAUUUUUACAACUUUGAAUGGCCAUGGGGUGUAGAUUGGCCUGAGCAAAUUUGGUGUCAGUGGGACGAAAGCCUUAGGAGGAGUUAGCCACAUUCCAAUGUGUGCGAAUCGGCAAAAAAUGCAAAAUAGCCCUUUAACCGUACAUUUUACAGAUACGCGCGCAUAGACUUUUUCGUAGAUCUGAUUGAGAUACAUGUGAUUGUCAAAUUUUGUGUCAAUAUGACAAAGCGUAUAGGCGUGAAUCUCAACAAUAUGUAUUUUCACCUUAGGGGACAAGAAAAAAUGGACUUUUUUCUCCUGCCAUGGGGGGGCGCUCUUUUGGGGAGUAAAAAUUCCUUCACAAAUGUGUUGAUGGCUGGACAUUGCAUCAUCCUAGAAAACUUGGAGGCCAGUGAGGACAAAAAUAAAAAGUUAUAAGACUUUUAAAUAUGUGGAUUUUAGGGUUAUCUUUGGCGCCCCCUAGAACCUAAACCGUGGGGUGCAGCGUCAUGAUUUUGAUAACUUUUAAUGGCCACGGGGUGUAGAUUGGCCUGAGCAAAUGUGGUGCCGGUGGAACGAAAGCCUUCGGAGGAGUUAGCGAAAUUCCAAUGUGUGUGGAUCGGCAAAAAAUGCAAAAUAACCCUUUAACCGUACAUUUGACAGAUACGCGCGCAUUGACUUUUUCGUAGAUCUUAUUGAGUUACAUGUGUGUGUCAAUUUUUGUGUCAUUUUGACAAAGCGUAUAGGCGUGACACUCAACAAUGUGUAUUUUCACCUUAGGGGACAAGAAAAAAUGGACUUUUUUCUCCUGCCAUGGGGGGGCGCUCUUUUGGGGAGUAAAAAUUCCUUCACAAAUGUGUUGAUGGCUGGACAUUGCAUCAUCCUAGAAAACUUGGAGGCCAGUGAGGACAAAAAUAAAAAGUUAUAAGACUUUUAAAUAUGUGGAUUUUAGUGUUAUCUUUGGCGCCCCCUAGAACCUAAACCUUGGGGUGCAGCGUCAUGAUUUUGAUAACUUUUAAUGGCCACGGGGUGUAGAUUGGCCUGAGCAAAUGUGGUGCCGGUGGAACGAAAGCCUUCGGAGGAGUUAGCGAAAUUCCAAUGUGUGCGGAUCGGCAAAAAAUGCGAAAUAACCCUUUAACCGUAAUUUUGACAGAUACGGCCGCACUGACUUUUUUGUAGAUCUUAUUGAGAUACAUAUGUGUGUCAAUUUUUGUGUCAAUAUGACAAAGCGUACAGGCGUGACAGUCAAUAGUGUGAAUUUCCACCUUAGGGGGCGCUAUGGAGCCAUUUUGCAUUUUAUUGUUUGGGCGACUUCAGAAUAUCGAAUUUUUCACCAGGCCCGGUCGUCCUGCCAAAUUUCAUGAGUUUUCGCCAGUGGGAAGUGGGCCAUUUUCCAGUUCAAAGGGGAGGAAAAAGAAAAAAGAAAGAAAGAAACAAAGAAAAACCACUUGGGGAAUAAUAGGGCCUACGCCCGGCUGCUCUGCAGCUUGCUCGGGCCCUAACUAGGACCCCGUUGGGGCACUGGCGGGCCCGAGCCGUGUCGCCCCCCCCCCCCCCCAACGUGCUGCCUCCCCGUCCCAUUUGUGUCCUCUGGCCAUCGCCCUCUCUUGUAACGCCCAUCACUGCAAAGACCCUUUUCCUUCAUCGGCGUUUGCUGUUCUUCCUGCCAGUGCGUGUUGCUUUCACUUACACUUGCCACAGCCAGCCUCGUGAGUGCCUAGCCUAUUGGAUAUCACUGUCACCUACACAGGACAGUCAUUACCUUUCUAUUAAUACUUUGUGUUUUAAUUUCACAUUAAUUUCCAUAUUGUAUAAACGACUGGAAAAAACUUGAGCCCCUGCCCCUGUAUAAUCAUGUGCAUGUCUCUGUUCUAGCUCCAAGGUGAAUCUUCACUGCUCAUGUUCUCCUCAGAAGCACUCACCUCACUCCCCUCAGGUUACUGUACACAUGCACCAACUGCCUGCUUCAGGUUUGGAUGGAGCUUCAUGGUUGUCUUUUGGAGAAAUGACCAGUCAAGUUGUGUUUGAAAUUUGAUUUUUUUUUCAGGGGCAAAAGGAGCCUCUGCAUUCUUGUCAAAUAUGUAAAUAGCAUGUUUUUGCAGGUGCUAAAAACCAGACUCUGAGUGUGUGUGUGUGUGUGUGUGUGUGUGUGUGUGUGUGUGUGUGUGUGUGUGUGUGUGUGCGUGCGUGUGUGUGUGUCUGUGUGUGCGUUCAAGUCACAUGACAUAUUUAACCGGAUGUAGCUGCAAGACGGAGCCUCGUUGACUCUCCGUUUCAACUUAUCUCAAAAGUGAGGACCUCAACCUAUAUACCAGUUUUUAAAUUGUGUUGAUAGGCCAAAUAAAACCAGAGUUAUGAUAAAUUAUGUCCGCGAUACUUUUUUUCUGCUUAUUUUGAUCACGUUCGGCGCUCGAUCGCGCUGUAUGAGACAGGAAAACAUAGCAUGCAGACAUUAGCGACAGGUCUUACAGGCGGAAAAGGCUUGCCAAAGGAAAAAAAAAACACACCACAACAUCUCUCCUAUUGGUGGAAAACUUCACCACAACAACCAAUCCAAAAUUAUAUGGUGACUGAUUGACAAGGGGAGGGCGAUUACGUUCUUCCUGCAACAUGAGAAGGGAGGGAGGGACUCUCAGCAGGGAUGCAGUCUGGGACACGUAGUUGCAAACCUAGCGACUUUGUUGUUAGAUUCAAUGACUUUUCAGACCCCCUAACGACUUUUUUUUAGAAAGAAAGGGACUUUUAUCGACUUCUUCUGGAGUUUAGAGACUCUGACAUGAAGCAGGCUUUCCUUACUGAGGAGUUAGCAACGCUGCUAAGGGUGCAGAGCCACACAUGCGCUCAGAGCUCUGCAUGGGAGACUGAAGCUGACAGAGCUGCAGCAGUUAGCAGGUUUCACCCUCAGAGACCACCAGGGGUUCAUGUUGAGGCAUUUUAAUUUUUAUUUUUUUUGUGCCAUAGACACUGUCAGCACAAUCUGCAGUUACACUAACAAAAAUGCUGCAAAAAACAAAGAAUUAUGGAAAAAUUACACAUGGACUGACAUAGAGGAGGAUCUACACAAGUUUUUUACAUCAUGUUUUACAUCAUGCAUCAUUUACAUCAUGUUUUUUUGUAGUGGCAUAAAUAAAAAGUGACAUUUGUGAGACUAUACAGUGUUUUGUAAAUAAUUUUACAAAGAACGCCUGGGCCAUUGCCUGCAUUUUGAUGUAAAUAGAGGUAAAUCACUAUGUUCUUUGUUAAAAAUUUGCAUAUGUUUUGAAGUUUACAAUUUUUAUUUGAAGUUUAAGUUUUAAAAACAGUUCAUCACACAUAUUUGUGGUUUUCACAGUAAAAAUGUUACUUUUUUCCACUCGGAUUUUAUGUUUUGUGUGUGAAUUUGGGUCCAUUGUGUAAAUUCAGUAUGUCAACAUGAUAAAAUAACUGUAAAUUCGCACAGGUGAGGUUGUGCUGAAAAAAAAUGAUACCAGGCAAGGCACGUGAUUGUCAAAUUUUGUGUCAUUAUGACAAAGCGUAUAGGCGUGAAUCUCAACAAUAUGUAUUUUCACCUUGGGGGACAAGAAAAAAUGGACUUUUUUCUCCUGCCAUGGGGGGGCGCUCUUUUGGGGAGUAAAAAUUCCUUCACAAAUGUGUUGAUGGCUGGACAUUGCAUCAUCCUAGAAAACUUGGAGGCCAGUGAGGACAAAAAUAAAAAGUUAUAAGACUUUUAAAUAUGUGGAUUUUAGGGUUGUCUUUGGCGCCCCCUAGAACCUAAACCGUGGGGUGCAGCGUCAUGAUUUGAAUAACUUUUAAUGGCCAUGGGGUGUAGAUUGGCCUGAGCAAAUGUGGUGCCGGUGGAACGAAAGCCUUAGGAGGAGUUAGCCACAUUCCAAUGUGUGCGGAUCGGCAAAAAAUGCGGAAUAACCCUUUAACCGUACAUUUGACAGAUACGCGCGCAUUGACUUUUUCGUAGAUCUUAUUGAGAUACAUGUGUGUGUCAAUUUUUGUGUCAUUUUGACAAAGCGUAUAGGCGUGACACUCAACAAUGUGUAUUUUCACCUUAGGGGACAAGAAAAAAUGGACUUUUUUCUCCUGCCAUGGGGGGGCGCUCUUUUGGGGAGUAAAAAUUCCUUCACAAAUGUGUUGAUGGCUGGACAUUGCAUCAUCCUAGAAAACUUGGAGGCCAGUGAGGACAAAAAUAAAAAGUUAUAAGACUUUUAAAUAUGUGGAUUUUAGUGUUAUCUUUGGCGCCCCCUAGAACCUAAACCUUGGGGUGCAGCGUCAUGAUUUUGAUAACUUUUAAUGGCCAUGGGGUGUAGAUUGGCCUGAGCAAAUGUGGUGCCGGUGGAACGAAAGCCUUCAGAGGAGUUAGCGAAAUUCCAAUGUGUGCGGAUCGGCAAAAAAUGCGUAAUAACCCUUUAACCGUACAUUUGACAGAUACGCCCGCACUGACUUUUUUGUAGAUCUUAUUGAGAUACAUAUGUGUGUCAAUUUUUGUGUCAUUUUGACAAAGCGUACAGUCGUGACAGUGAAUAGUGUGAAUUUUCACCUUAGGGGGCGCUAUGGAGCCAUUUUGCAUUUUAUUGUUUUGGCGACUUCAGAAUAUCAAAUUUUUCACCAGGCCCGGUCGUCCUGCCAAAUUUCAUGAGUUUUCGCCAGUGGGAAGUGGGCCAUUUUCCAGUUCAAAGGGGAGGAAAAAGAAAAAAGAAAGAAAGAAACAAAGAAAAACCACUUGGGGAAUAAUAGGGCCUACGCCCGGCUGCUCUGCAGCUGGCUCGGGCCCUAAGAAAGAAACAAAGAAAAACCCCUACAGGAAUAACAGGGCCUACGCCCGGCUGCUCUGCAGCUGGCUCGGGCCCUAAUAACUAGGACCCCGUUGGGGCACUGGCGGGCCCGAGCUGUGUCGCGUCCCCCCCCCAACGCGCUGCCUGCCCGUCCCAUUUGUGUCCUCUGGCCAUCGCCCUCUUUGGUAACGCCCAUCACUGCAAAGACCCUUUUCCUUCAUCGGCGUUUGCUGUUCUUCCUGCCAGUGCGUGUUGCUUUCACUUACACUUGCCACAGCCAGCCUCGUGAGUGCCUAGCCUAUUGGAUAUCACUGUCACCUACACAGGACAGUCAUUACCUUUCUAUUAAUACUUUGUUUUUUAAUUUCACAUUAAUUUCCAUAUUGUAUAAACAACUGGAAAAAACUUGAGCCCCUGCCCCUGUAUAAUCAUGUGCACGUCUCUGUUCUAGCUCUAAGGUGAAUCUUCACUGCUCAUGUUCUCCUCAGAAGCAGUCACCUCACUCCCCUCAGGUUACUGUACACAUGCACCAACUGCCUGCUUCAGGUUUGGAUGGAGCUUCAUGGUUGUCUUUUGGAGAAAUGACCAGUCAAGUUGUGUUUGAAAUUUGAUUUUUUUCAGGGGCAAAAGGAGCCUCUGCAUUCUUGUCAAAUAUGUAAAUAGCAUGUUUUUGCAGGUGCUAAAAACCAGACUCUGAGUGUGUGUGUGUGCGUGUGUGUGUGUGUCUGUGUGUGUGUGUGUGUGUGUGUGUGUGCGUUCAAGUCACAUGACAUAUUUAACCGGAUGUAGCUGCAAGACGGAGCCUCGUUGACUCUCCGUUUCAAUUUAUCUCAAAAGUGAGGACCUCAACCUAUAUACCAGUUUUUAAAUUGUGUUGAUAGGCCAAAUAAAACCAGAGUUAUGAUAAAUUAUGUCCGCGAUACUUGUUUUCUGCUUAUUUUGAUCACGUUCGGCGCUCGAUCGCGCUGUAUGAGACAGGAAAACAUAGCAUGCAGACAUUAGCGACAGGUCUUACAGGCGGAAAAGGCUUGCCAAAGGAAAAAAAAAAACACACCACAACAUCUCUCCUAUUGGUGGAAAACUUCACCACAACAACCAAUCCAAAAUUAUAUGGUGACUGAUUGACAAGGGGCGGGAACUUACGUUCUUCCUGCAAUAUGAGAAGGGAGGGAGGGACUCUCAGCAGGGAUGCAGUCUGGGACACGUAGUUGCAAACCUAGCGACUUUGUUGUUAGAUUCAAUGACUUUUCAGACCCCCUAACGACUUUUUUUAGAAAGAAAGUGACUUUUAUCGACUUCUUCUGGAGUUUAGAGACUCUGACAUGAAGCAGGCUUUCCUUACUGAGGAGUUAGCAACGCUGCUAAGGGUGCAGAGCCACACAUGCGCUCCGAGCUCUGCAUGGGAGACUGAAGCUGACAGAGCUGCAGCAGUUAGCAGGUUUCACCCUCAGAGACCACCAGGGGUUCAUGUUGAGGCAUUUUAAAAAUUUUUUUUGUGUGCCAUAGACACUGUCAGCACAAUCUGCAGUUACACUAACAAAAAUGCUGCAAAAAACAAAGAAUUAUGGAAAAAUUACACAUGGACUGACAUAGAGGAGGAUCUACACAAGUUUUUUACAUCAUGUUUUACAUCAUGCAUCAUUUACAUCAUGUUUUUUUGUAGUGGCAUAAAUAAAAAGUGACAUUUGUGAGACUAUACAGUGUUUUGUAAAUAAUUUUACAAAGAACGCCUGGGCCAUUGCCUGCAUUUUGAUGAAAAUAGAGGUAAAUCACUAUGUUCUUUGUUUAAAAUUUGCAUAUGUUUUGAAGUUUACAAUUUUUAUUUGAAGUUUAAGUUUUAAAAACAGUUCAUCACACAUAUUUGUGGUUUAAUUUCACAUUAAUUUCCAUAUUAUAUAAAUGACUGGAAAAAACUUGAGCCCCUGCCCCUGUAUAAUCAUGUGCACGUCCCUGUUCUAGCUCCAAGGUGAAUCUUCACUGCUCAUGUUCUCCUCAGAAAUAGUCACCUCACUCCCCUCAGGUUACUGUACACAUGCACCAACUAUCUGCUUCAGGUUUGAAAUGGAGCUUCAUGGUUGUCUUUUGGAGAAAUGAACAGUCAAGUUGUGUUUGAAAUUUGAUUUUUUUCAGGGGCAAAAGGAAGCCUCUGCAUUCUUGUCAAAUAUGUAAACAGCAUGUUUUUGCAGGUGCUAAAAAACAGACUCUGAGUGUGUGUGUGAAUCUGUGUGUGUGUGUGUGUGUGUGUGUGUGUGUGUGUAUGUUGGCGUGUGUGUAUAUGUGUGUGUAUCCUGCAGUACUCUGUACUCCUGCAGUGGCCAAAAAGACUUUUAAGAAUGUGGAUUUUUGGGUCAUCUUUGGCGCCCCUAGAACUGCAGUACUCUGUACUCCUGCAGUGGCCAAAAUGACUUUUAAGAAUGUGGAUUUUUGGGUCAUCUUUGGCGCCCCCUAGAACGUAAACCGUGGGGUGCAGCGUCAUGAUUUUUACAACUUUGAAUGGGCAUGGGGUGUAGAUUGCCCUGAGCAAAUUUGGUAUCGGUGGGACGAAAGCCUUAGGAGGAGAUAGCCACAUUCCAAUGUGUGCGAAUCGGCAAAAAAUGCAAAAUAGCCCUUUAACCGUACAUUAUACAGAUACGCGCUCUUUGACUUUUUCGUAGAUCUAAUUGAGAUACACAUGAUUGUCAAUUUUUGUGUCAAUAUGACAAAGCGUUCAGGCGUGACACUCAACAAUGUGUAUUUUCAUGUAAGGGGACAAGAAAAAAUUGACUUUUUUCUCCUACCAUGGGGGGGCGCUCUUUUGGGGAGUAAAAAUUCCUUCACAAAUGUGUUGAUGGCUGGACAUUGCAUCAUCCUAGAAAACUUGGAGGCCAGUGAGGACAAAAAUAAAAAGUUAUAAGACUUUUAAAAAUGUGGAUUUUAGGGUUAUCUUUGGCGCCCCCUAGAACGUAAACCGUGGGGUGCAGCGUCAUGAUUUGAAUAACUUUUAAUGGCCAUGGGGUGUAGAUUGGCCUGAGCAAAUGUGGUGCCGGUGGAAUGAAAGCCUUCGGAGGAGUUAGCGAAAUUCCAAUGUGUGCGGAUCGGCAAAAAAUGCGAAAUAGCCCUUUAACCGUACAUUUGACAGAUACGCCCGCACUGACUUUUUUGUAGAUCUUAUUGAGAUACAUGUGUGUGUCAAUUUUUGUGUCAUUUUGACAAAGCGUACAGGCGUGAAAGUCAAUAGUGUGAAUUUUCACCUUAGGGGGCGCUAUGGAGCCAUUUUGCAUUUUCUUGUUUGGGCGACUUCGGAAUAUCAAAUUUUUCACCAGGCCCGGUCGUCCUGCCAAAUUUCAUGAGUUUUCGCCAGUGGGAAGUGGGCCAUUUUCCAGUUCAAAGGGGAGGAAAAAGAAAAAAGAAACAAAGAAAAACCACUUGGGGAAUAAUAGGGCUCUCGCAGCUGCUUAGCAGCUACGCUCGGGCCCUAAUAAUAACAAAAGAAGGAAACAUGCAGGAACAAGAGGGCUCUCGCAGCUGCUUAGCAGCUACGCUCGGGCCCUAAAAACCACUUGGGGAAUAAUAGGGCUCUCGCAGCUGCUUAGCAGCUACGCUCGGGCCCUAAAAAGAAACAAAGAAAAACCACUUGGGGAAUAAUAGGGCUCUCGCAGCUGCUUAGCAGCUACGCUCGGGCCCUAAAAAACCACUUGGGGAAUAAUAGGGCUCUCGCAGCUGCUUAGCAGCUACGCUCGGGCCCUAAAGAAACAAAGAAAAACCACUUGGGGAAUAAUAGAGCUCUCGCAGCUGCUUAGCAGCUACGCUCGGGCCCUAAAGAAAGAAAGAAACAAAGAAAAACCACUUGGGGAAUAAUAGGGCCUACGCCCGGCUGCUCUGCAGCUGGCUCGGGCCCUAAAAAGAAAGAAAGAAACAAAGAAAAACCACUUGGGGAAUAAUAGGGCCUACGCCCGGCUGCUCUGCAGCUGGCUCGGGCCCUAAUAAAGAAACAGGAGAAUAACAAUAAGUGGAAAUGCUUAAUCAGCAUUUCCACUUAAUAAUAAUAAUAAAGAACUAGGACCCCGUUGGGGCACUGGCGGGCCCGAGCCGUGUCGCGCCCCCCCCCCCCCCCCCAACGUGCUGCCUCCCCGUCCCAUUUGUGUCCUCUGGCCAUCGCCCUCUCUGGUAACGCCCAUCACUGCAAAGACCCUUUUCCUUCAUCGGCGUUUGCUGUUCUUCCUGCCAGUGCGUGUUGCUUUCACUUACACUUGCCACAGCCAGCCUCGUGAGUGCCUAGCCUAUUGGAUAUCACUGUCACCUACACAGGACAGUCAUUACCUUUCUAUUAAUACUUUGUGUUUUAAUUUCACAUUAAUUUCCAUAUUGUAUAAACGACUGGAAAAAACUUGAGCCCCUGCCCCUGUAUAAUCAUGUGCAUGUCUCUGUUCUAGCUCCAAGGUGAAUCUUCACUGCUCAUGUUCUCCUCAGAAGCACUCACCUCACUCCCCUCAGGUUACUGUACACAUGCACCAACUGCCUGCUUCAGGUUUGGAUGGAGCUUCAUGGUUGUCUUUUGGAGAAAUGACCAGUCAAGUUGUGUUUGAAAUUUGAUUUUUUUCAGGGGCAAAAGGAGCCUCUGCAUUCUUGUCAAAUAUGUAAAUAGCAUGUUUUUGCAGGUGCUAAAAACCAGACUCUGAGUGUGUGUGUGUGUGUGUGUGUGUGUGUGUGUGUGUGUGUGUGUGUGUGUGUGUGUGUGUGUGCGUGUGUGUGUGUGUCUAUGUGUGCGUUCAAAUCACAUGACAUAUUUAACCGGAUGUAGCUGCAAGACGGAGCCUCGUUGACUCUCCGUUUCAACUUAUCUCAAAAGUGAGGACCUCAACCUAUAUACCAGUUUUUAAAUUGUGUUGAUAGGCCAAAUAAAACCAGAGUUAUGAUAAAUUAUGUCCGCGAUACUUUUUUUCUGCUUAUUUUGAUCACGUUCGGCGCUCGAUCGCGCUGUAUGAGACAGGAAAACAUAGCAUGCAGACAUUAGCGACAGGUCUUACAGGCGGAAAAGGCUUGCCAAAGGAAAAAAAAAACACACCACAACAUCUCUCCUAUUGGUGGAAAACUUCACCACAACAACCAAUCCAAAAUUAUAUGGUGACUGAUUGACAAGGGGCGGGCGCUUACGUUCUUCCUGCAACAUGAGAAGGGAGGGAGGGACUCUCAGCAGGGAUGCAGUCUGGGACACGUAGUUGCAAACCUAGCGACUUUGUUGUUAGAUUCAAUGACUUUUCAGACCCCCUAACGACUUUUUUUUAGAAAGAAAGUGACUUUUAUCGACUUCUUCUGGAGUUUAGAGACUCUGACAUGAAGCAGGCUUUCCUUACUGAGGAGUUAGCAACGCUGCUAAGGGUGCAGAGCCACACAUGCACUCAGAGCUCUGCAUGGGAGACUGAAGCUGACAGAGCUGCAGCAGUUAGCAGGUUUCACCCUCAGAGACCACCAGGGGUUCAUGUUGAGGCAUUUUCAGUUUUUUUUUUUUUUUUUGCCAUAGACACUGUCAGCACAAUCUGCAGUUACACUAACAAAAAUGCUGCAAAAAACAAAGAAUUAUGGAAAAAUUACACAUGGACUGACAUAGAGGAGGAUCUACACAAGUUUUUUACAUCAUGUUUUACAUCAUGCAUCAUUUACAUCAUGUUUUUUUGUAGUGGCAUAAAUAAAAAGUGACAUUUGUGAGACUAUACAGUGUUUUGUAAAUAAUUUUACAAAGAACGCCUGGGCCAUUGCCUGCAUUUUGAUGUAAAUAGAGGUAAAUUACUAUGUUCUUUGUUAAAAAUUUGCAUAUGUUUUGAAGUUUACAAUUUUUAUUUGAAGUUUAAGUUUUAAAAACAGUUCAUCACACAUAUUUGUGGUUUAAUUUCACAUUAAUUUCCAUAUUGUAUAAAUGACUGGAAAAAACUUGAGCCCCUGCCCCUGUAUAAUCAUGUGCACGUCCCUGUUCUAGCUCCAAGGUGAAUCUUCACUGCUCAUGUUCUCCUCAGAAAUAGUCACCUCACUCCCCUCAGGUUACUGUACACAUGCACCAACUAUCUGCUUCAGGUUUGAAAUGGAGCUUCAUGGUUGUCUUUUGGAGAAAUGAACAGUCAAGUUGUGUUUGAAAUUUGAUUUUUUUCAGGGGCAAAAGGAAGCCUCUGCAUUCUUGUCAAAUAUGUAAACAGCAUGUUUUUGCAGGUGCUAAAAAACAGACUCUGAGUGUGUGUGUGUGUGUGUGUGUGUGUGUGUGUGUGUGUGUGUAUGUUGGCGUGUGUGUAUAUGUGUGUGUAUCCUGCAGUACUCUGUACUCCUGCAGUGGCCAAAAAGACUUUUAAGAAUGUGGAUUUUUGGGUCAUCUUUGGCGCCCCCUAGAACUGCAGUACUCUGUACUCCUGCAGUGGCCAAAAUGACUUUUAAGAAUGUGGAUUUUUGGGUCAUCUUUGGCGCCCCCUAGAACGUAAACCGUGGGGUGCAGCGUCAUGAUUUUUACAACUUUGAAUGGGCAUGGGGUGUAGAUUGCCCUGAGCAAAUUUGGUAUCGGUGGGACGAAAGCCUUAGGAGGAGAUAGCCACAUUCCAAUGUGUGCGAAUCGGCAAAAAAUGCAAAAUAGCCCUUUAACCGUACAUUAUACAGAUACGCGCUCUUUGACUUUUUCGUAGAUCUAAUUGAGAUACACAUGAUUGUCAAUUUUUGUGUCAAUAUGACAAACCGUUCAGGCGUGACACUCAACAAUGUGUAUUUUUAUGUAAGGGGACAAGAAAAAAUUGACUUUUUUCUCCUACCAUGGGGGGCGCUCUUUUGGGGAGUAAAAAUUCCUUCACAAAUGUGUUGAUGGCUGGACAUUGCAUCAUCCUAGAAAACUUGGAGGCCAGUGAGGACAAAAAUAAAAAGUUAUAAAACAUUUAAGAAUGUGGAUUUUUGGGUUAUUUUUGGCGCCCCCUAGAACCUAAACCAUGGGGUGCAGCAUCAUGAUUUGAAUAACUUUUAAUGGCCAUGGGGUGUAGAUUGGCCUGAGCAAAUGUGGUGCCGGUGGAACGAAAGCCUUCGGAGGAGUUAGCGAAAUUCCAAUGUGUGCGUAUCGGCAAAAAAUGCGGAAUAACCCUUUAACUGUACAUUUGACAGAUACGCGCGCAUGGACUUUUUUGUAGAUCUUAUUGAGUUACAUGUGUGUGUCAAUUUUUGUGUCAUUUUGACAAAGCGUAUAGGCGUGACACUCAACAAUGUGUAUUUUCACCUUAGGGGACAAGAAAAAAUGGACUUUUUCUCCUGCCAUGGGGGGGCGCUCUUUUGGGGAGUAAAAAUUCCUUCACAAAUGUGUUGAUGGCUGGACAUUGCAUCAUCCUAGAAAACUUGGAGGCCAGUGAGGACAAAAAUAAAAAGUUAUAAGACUUUUAAAUAUGUGGAUUUUAGUGUUAUCUUUGGCGCCCCCUAGAACCUAAACCUUGGGGUGCAGCGUCAUGAUUUUGAUAACUUUUAAUGGCCACGGGGUGUAGAUUGGCCUGAGCAAAUGUGGUGCCGGUGGAACGAAAGCCUUCGGAGGAGUUAGCGAAAUUCCAAUGUGUGCGGAUCGGCAAAAAAUGCGAAAUAACCCUUUAACCGUAAUUUUGACAGAUACGGCCGCACUGACUUUUUUGUAGAUCUUAUUGAGAUACAUGUGUGUGUCAAUUUUUGUGUCAAUAUGACAAAGCGUACAGGCGUGACAGUCAAUAGUGUGAAUUUCCACCUUAGGGGGCGCUAUGGAGCCAUUUUGCAUUUUAUUGUUUUGGCGACUUCAGAAUAUCGAAUUUUUCACCAGGCCCGGUCGUCCUGCCAAAUUUCAUGAGUUUUCGCCAGUGGGAAGUGGGCCAUUUUCCAGUUCAAAGGGGAGGAAAAAGAAAAACUAGGGCCCCGGUGGGGCACUGGCGGGCCCGAGCCGUGUCGCGCCGCCCCCAGCGCGACCGCCUACCCCUCCCGAUCGCGUCACACUCAAGGUCCAAAGAUGGUGUGCGCACUUGUCUGUGGUCAUUUACCAUUAUAAUGAAUGGGAGGCGCAGUUUCUACCAAAACGCUCGCUGCAGGUCCUUUUGGAAAAAACUCUGGACCAUGAGUGAGGGCACAAACACAGCUAGUAUAUAUCCAAAUGGCAAGUUGCUCCUCCUUUCGGUUUUGCCGAGAGAGCGAUGCGUUUGAGCCAUAUGGAUGGGCAGGAAAAACUUGACUUUUUCUCCUGCCAUGGGGGGGCGCUCUUUUGGGGAGAAAAAAUUCCUUCACAAAUGUGUUGAUGGCUGGACAUUGCAUCAUCCUAGAAAACUUGGAGGCCAGUGAGGACAAAAAUAAAAAGUUAUAAGACUUUUAAAAAUGUGGAUAUUUGGGUCCUCUUUGGCGCCCCCUAGAACGUAGACCGUGGGGUGCAGCGUCAUGAUUUUUACAACUUUGAAUGCACCAACUGCCUGCUUCAGGUUUGGAUGGAGCUUCAUGGUUGUCUUUUGGAGAAAUGACCAGUCAAGUUGUGUUUGAAAUUUGAUUUUUUUCAGGGGCAAAAGGAGACUCUGCAUUCUUGUCAAAUAUGUAAAUAGCAUGUUUUUGCAGGUGCUAAAAACCAGACUCUGAGUGUGUGUGUGUGUGUGUGUGUGUGUGUGUGUGUGUGUGUGUGUGCGUGUGUGUGUGUCUGUGUGUGCGUUCAAGUCACAUGACAUAUUUAACCGGAUGUAGCUGCAAGACGGAGCCUCGUUGACUCUCCAUUUCAACUUAUCUCAAAAGUGAGGACCUCAACCUAUAUACCAGUUUUUAAAUUGUGUUGAUAGGCCAAAUAAAACCAGAGUUAUGAUAAAUUAUGUCCGCGAUACUUUUUUUCUGCUUAUUUUGAUCACGUUCGGCGCUCGAUCGCGCUGUAUGAGACAGGAAAACAUAGCAUGCAGACAUUAGCGACAGGUCUUACAGGCGGAAAAGGCUUGCCAAAAGAAAAAAAAAACACACCACAACAUCUCUCCUAUUGGUGGAAAACUUCACCACAACAACCAAUCCAAAAUUAUAUGGUGACUGAUUGACAAGGGGCGGGCGCUUACGUUCUUCCUGCAACAUGAGAAGCGAGGGAGGGACUCUCAGCAGGGAUGCAGUCUGGGACACGUAGUUGCAAACCUAGCGACUUUGUUGUUAGAUUUAAUGACUUUUCAGACCCCCUAACGACUUUUUUUAGAAAGAAAGGGACUUUUAUCGACUUCUUCUGGAGUUUAGAGACUCUGACAUGAAGCAGGCUUUCCUUACUGAGGAGUUAGCAACGCUGCUAAGGGUGCAGAGCCACACAUGCGCUCAGAGCUCUGCAUGGGAGACUGAAGCUGACAGAGCUGCAGCAGUUAGCAGGUUUCACCCUCAGAGACCACCAGGGGUUCAUGUUGAGGCAUUUUGAAUUUUUUUUUUUUUUUGUGCCAUAGACACUGUCAGCACAAUCUGCAGUUACACUAACAAAAAUGCUGCAAAAAACAAAGAAUUACGGAAAAAUUACACAUGGACUGACAUAGAGGAGGAUCUACACAAGUUUUUUACAUCAUGUUUUACAUCAUGCAUCAUUUACAUCAUGUUUUUUUGUAGUGGCAUAAAUAAAAAGUGACAUUUGUGAGACUAUACAGUGUUUUGUAAAUAAUUUUACAAAGAACGCCUGGGCCAUUGCCUGCAUUUUGAUGUAAAUAGAGGUAAAUCACUAUGUUCUUUGUUUAAAAUUUGCAUAUGUUUUGAAGUUUACAAUUUUUAUUUGAAGUUUAAGUUUUAAAAACAGUUCAUCACACAUAUUUGUGGUUUUCACUGUAAAAAUGUUACUUUUUUCCACUCGGAUUUUAUGUUUUGUGUGUGAAUUUGGGUCCAUUGUGUAAAUUCAGUAUGUCAACAUGAUAAAAUAACUGUAAAUUCGCACAGGUGAGGUUGUGCUGAAAAAAAUGAUACCAGGCAAGGCACGUGAUUGUCAAAUUUUGUGUCAAUAUGACAAAGCGUAUAGGCGUGAAUCUCAACAAUAUGUAUUUUCACCUUAGGGGACAAGAAAAAAUGGACUUUUUUCUCCUGCCAUGGGGGGGCGCUCUUUUGGGGAGUAAAAAUUCCUUCACAAAUGUGUUGAUGGCUGGACAUUGCAUCAUCCUAGAAAACUUGGAGGCCAGUGAGGACAAAAAUAAAAAGUUAUAAGACUUUUAAAUAUGUGGAUUUUAGGGUUAUCUUUGGCGCCCCCUAGAACCUAAACCGUGGGGUGCAGCGUCAUGAUUUGAAUAACUUUUAAUGGCCAUGGGGUGUAGAUUGGCCUGAGCAAAUGUGGUGCCGGUGGAACGAAAGCCUUAGGAGGAGUUAGCCACAUUCCAAUGUGUGCGGAUCGGCAAAAAAUGCGGAAUAACCCUUUAACCGUACAUUUGACAGAUACGCGCGCAUUGACUUUUUCGUAGAUCUUAUUGAGUUACAUGUGUGUGUCAAUUUUUGUGUCAUUUUGACAAAGCGUAUAGGCGUGACACUCAACAAUGUGUAUUUUCACCUUAGGGGACAAGAAAAAAUGGACUUUUUUCUCCUGCCAUGGGGGGCGCUCUUUUGGGGAGUAAAAAUUCCUUCACAAAUGUGUUGAUGGCUGGACAUUGCAUCAUCCUAGAAAACUUGGAGGCCAGUGAGGACAAAAAUAAAAAGUUAUAAGACUUUUAAAUAUGUGGAUUUUAGGGUUAUCUUUGGCGCCCCCUAGAACCUAAACCGUGGGGUGCAGCGUCAUGAAUUGAAUAACUUUUAAUGGCCAUGGGGUGUAGAUUGGCCUGAGCAAAUGUGGUGCCGGUGGAACGAAAGCCUUAGGAGGAGUUAGCCACAUUCCAAUGUGUGCGGAUCGGCAAAAAAUGCGGAAUAACCCUUUAACCGUACAUUUGACAGAUACGCGCGCAUUGACUUUUUCGUAGAUCUUAUUGAGUUACAUGUGUGUGUCAAUUUUUGUGUCAUUUUGACAAAGCGUAUAGGCGUGACACUCAACAAUGUGUAUUUUCACCUUAGGGGACAAGAAAAAAUGGACUUUUUUCUCCUGCCAUGGGGGGGCGCUCUUUUGGGGAGUAAAAAUUCCUUCACAAAUGUGUUGAUGGCUGGACAUUGCAUCAUCCUAGAAAACUUGGAGGCCAGUGAGGGCAAAAAUAAAAAGUUAUAAGACUUUUAAAUAUGUGGAUUUUAGGGUUAUCUUUGGCGCCCCCUAGAACCUAAACCGUGGGGUGCAGCGUCAUGAUUUGAAUAACUUUUAAUGGCCAUGGGGUGUAGAUUGGCCUGAGCAAAUGUGGUGCCGGUGGAACGAAAGCCUUCGGAGGAGUUAGCGAAAUUCCAAUGUGUGCGGAUCGGCAAAAAAUGCGGAAUAACCCUUUAACCGUACAUUUGACAGAUACGCCCGCACUGACUUUUUUGUAGAUCUUAUUGAGAUACAUGUGUGUGUCAAUUUUUGUGUCAAUAUGACAAAGCGUACAGGCGUGACAGUCAAUAGUGUGAAUUUUCACCUUAGGGGGCGCUAUGGAGCCAUUUUGCAUUUUCUUGUUUGGGCGAUUUCGGAAUAUCAAAUUUUUCACCAGGCCCGGUCAUCCUGCCAAAUUUCAUGAGUUUUCGCCAGUGGGAAGUGGGCCAUUUUCCAGUUCAAAGGGGAGGAAAAAGAAGAAAGAAAGAAACAAAGAACUAGGACCCCGUUGGGGCACUGGCGGGCCCGAGCCGUGUCGCGUCUCCCCCCCCCAAACGUGCUGCCUUCCCGUCCCAUUUGUGUCCUCUGGCCAUCGCCCUCUCUGUUAACGCCCAUCACUGCAAAGACCCUUUUCCUUCAUCGGCGUUUGCUGUUCUUCCUGCCAGUGCGUGUUGCUUUCACUUACACUUGCCACAGCCAGCCUCGUGAGUGCCUAGCCUAUUCGAUAUCACUGUCACCUACACAGGACAGUCAUUACCUUUCUAUUAAUACUUUGUGUUUUAAUUUCACAUUAAUUUCCAUAUUGUAUAGACGACUGGAAAAAACUUGAGCCCCUGUCCCUGUAUAAUCAUGUGCAUGUCUCUGUUCUAGCUCCAAGGUGAAUCUUCGCUGCUCAUGUUCUCCUCAGAAGCAGUCACCUCACUCCCCUCAGGUUACUGUACACAUGCACCAACUGCCUGCUUCAGGUUUGGAUGGAGCUUCAUGGUUGUCUUUUGGAGAAAUGACCAGUCAAGUUGUGUUUGAAAUUUGAUUUUUUUCAGGGGCAAAAGGAGCCUCUGCAUUCUUGUCAAAUAUGUAAAUAGCAUGUUUUUGCAGGUGCUAAAAACCAGACUCUGAGUGUGUGUGUGUGCGUGUGUGUGUGUGUGUGUGUGUGUGUGUGUGUGUGUGUGUGUGUGCGUUCAAGUCACAUGACAUAUUUAACCGGAUGUAGCUGCAAGACGGAGCCUCGUUGACUCUCCGUUUCAACUUAUCUCAAAAGUGAGGACCUCAACCUAUAUACCAGUUUUUAAAUUGUGUUGAUAGGCCAAAUAAAACCAGAGUUAUGAUAAAUUAUGUCCGCGAUACUUGUUUUCUGCUUAUUUUGAUCACGUUCGGCGCUUGAUCGCGCUGUAUGAGACAGGAAAACAUAGCAUGCAGACAUUAGCGACAGGUCUUACAGGCGGAAAAGGCUUGCCAAAAGAAAAAAAAAACACACCACAACAUCUCUCCUAUUGGUGGAAAACUUCACCACAACAACCAAUCCAAAAUUAUAUGGUGACUGAUUGACAAGGGGCGGGCGCUUACGUUCUUCCUGCAACAUGAGAAGGGAGGGAGGGACUCUCAGCAGGGAUGCAGUCUGGGACACGUAGUUGCAAACCUAGCGACUUUGUUGUUAGAUUCAAUGACUUUUCAGACCCCCUAACGACUUUUUUUUAGAAAGAAAGUGACUUUUAUCGACUUCUUCUGGAGUUUAGAGACUCUGACAUGAAGCAGGCUUUCCUUACUGAGGAGUUAGCAACGCUGCUAAGGGUGCAGAGCCACACAUGCGCUCAGAGCUCUGCAUGGGAGACUGAAGCUGACAGAGCUGCAGCAGUUAGCAGGUUUCACCCUCAGAGACCACCAGGGGUUCAUGUUGAGGCAUUUUAAUUUUUUUUUUUUUUGUGCCAUAGACACUGUCAGCACAAUCUGCAGUUACACUAACAAAAAUGCUGCAAAAAACAAAGAAUUAUGGAAAAAUUACACAUGGACUGACAUAGAGGAGGAUCUACACAAGUUUUUUACAUCAUGUUUUACAUCAUGCAUCAUUUACAUUAUGUUUUUUUGUAGUGGCAUAAAUAAAAAGUGACAUUUGUGAGACUAUACAGUGUUUUGUAAAUAAUUUUACAAAGAACGCCUGGGCCAUUGCCUGCAUUUUGAUGUAAAUAGAGGUAAAUUACUAUGUUCUUUGUUAAAAAUUUGCAUAUGUUUUGAAGUUUACAAUUUUUAUUUGAAGUUUAAGUUUUAAAAACAGUUCAUCACACAUAUUUGUGGUUUAAUUUCACAUUAAUUUCCAUAUUGUAUAAAUGACUGGAAAAAACUUGAGCCCCUGCCCCUGUAUAAUCAUGUGCACGUCCCUGUUCUAGCUCCAAGGUGAAUCUUCACUGCUCAUGUUCUCCUCAGAAAUAGUCACCUCACUCCCCUCAGGUUACUGUACACAUGCACCAACUAUCUGCUUCAGGUUUGAAAUGGAGCUUCAUGGUUGUCUUUUGGAGAAAUGAACAGUCAAGUUGUGUUUGAAAUUUGAUUUUUUUCAGGGGCAAAAGGAAGCCUCUGCAUUCUUGUCAAAUAUGUAAACAGCAUGUUUUUGCAGGUGCUAAAAAACAGACUCUGAGUGUGUGUGUGUGUGUGUGUGUGUGUGUGUGUGUGUGUGUGUGUGUGUGUGUGUGUGUGUGUGUGUGUGUGUGUGUGUGUGUGUAUGUUGGCGUGUGUGUAUAUGUGUGUGUAUCCUGCAGUACUCUGUACUCCUGCAGUGGCCAAAAAGACUUUUAAGAAUGUGGAUUUUUGGGUCAUCUUUGGCGCCCCCUAGAACUGCAGUACUCUGUACUCCUGCAGUGGCCAAAAUGACUUUUAAGAAUGUGGAUUUUUGGGUCAUCUUUGGCGCCCCCUAGAACGUAAACCGUGGGGUGCAGCGUCAUGAUUUUUACAACUUUGAAUGGGCAUGGGGUGUAGAUUGCCCUGAGCAAAUUUGGUAUCGGUGGGACGAAAGCCUUAGGAGGAGAUAGCCACAUUCCAAUGUGUGCGAAUCGGCAAAAAAUGCAAAAUAGCCCUUUAACCGUACAUUAUACAGAUACGCGCUCUUUGACUUUUUCGUAGAUCUAAUUGAGAUACACAUGAUUGUCAAUUUUUGUGUCAAUAUGACAAAGCGUUCAGGCGUGACACUCAACAAUGUGUAUUUUUAUGUAAGGGGACAAGAAAAAAUUGACUUUUUUCUCCUACCAUGGGGGGGCGCUCUUUUGGGGAGUAAAAAUUCCUUCACAAAUGUGUUGAUGGCUGGACAUUGCAUCAUCCUAGAAAACUUGGAGGCCAGUGAGGACAAAAAUAAAAAGUUAUAAAACAUUUAAGAAUGUGGAUUUUUGGGUUAUUUUUGGCGCCCCCUAGAACCUAAACCAUGGGGUGCAGCAUCAUGAUUUGAAUAACUUUUAAUGGCCAUGGGGUGUAGAUUGGCCUGAGCAAAUGUGGUGCCGGUGGAACGAAAGCCUUCGGAGGAGUUAGCGAAAUUCCAAUGUGUGCGUAUCGGCAAAAAAUGCGGAAUAACCCUUUAACUGUACAUUUGACAGAUACGCGCACAUGGACUUUUUUGUAGAUCUUAUUGAGUUACAUGUGUGUGUCAAUUUUUGUGUCAUUUUGACAAAGCGUAUAGGCGUGACACUCAACAAUGUGUAUUUUCACCUUAGGGGACAAGAAAAAAUGGACUUUUUUCUCCUGCCAUGGGGGGGCGCUCUUUUGGGGAGUAAAAAUUCCUUCACAAAUGUGUUGAUGGCUGGACAUUGCAUCAUCCUAGAAAACUUGGAGGCCAGUGAGGACAAAAAUAAAAAGUUAUAAGACUUUUAAAUAUGUGGAUUUUAGUGUUAUCUUUGGCGCCCCCUAGAACCUAAACCUUGCGGUGCAGCGUCAUGAUUUUGAUAACUUUUAAUGGCCACGGGGUGUAGAUUGGCCUGAGCAAAUGUGGUGCCGGUGGAACAAAAGCCUUCGGAGGAGUUAGCGAAAUUCCAAUGUGUGCGGAUCGGCAAAAAAUGCGAAAUAACCCUUUAACCGUAAUUUUGACAGAUACGGCCGCACUGACUUUUUUGUAGAUCUUAUUGAGAUACAUAUGUGUGUCAAUUUUUGUGUCAAUAUGACAAAGCGUACAGGCGUGACAGUCAAUAGUGUGAAUUUCCACCUUAGGGGGCGCUAUGGAGCCAUUUUGCAUUUUAUUGUUUGGGCGACUUCAGAAUAUCGAAUUUUUCACCAGGCCCGGUCGUCCUGCCAAAUUUCAUGAGUUUUCGCCAGUGGGAAGUGGGCCAUUUUCCAGUUCAAAGGGGAGGAAAAAGAAGAAAGAAAGAAAGAAAGAAAGAAAGAAAGAAACAAAGAAAAACCACUUGGGGAAUAAUAGGGCCUACGCCCGGCUGCUCUGCAGCUGGCUCGGGCCCUAAAAACCACUUGGGGAAUAAUAGGGCUCUCGCAGCUGCUUAGCAGCUACGCUCGGGCCCUAACUAUUAACCGGAUGUAGCUGCAAGACGGAGCCUCGUUGACUCUCCGUUUCAACUUAUCUCAAAAGUGAGGACCUCAACCUAUAUACCAGUUUUUAAAUUGUGUUGAUAGGCCAAAUAAAACCAGAGUUAUGAUAAAUUAUGUCCGCGAUACUUUUUUUCUGCUUAUUUUGAUCACGUUCAGCGCUCGAUCGCGCUGUAUGAGACAGGAAAACAUAGCAUGCAGACAUUAGCGACAGGUCUUACAGGCGGAAAAGGCUUGCCAAAGGAAAAAAAAAACACACCACAACAUCUCUCCUAUUGGUGGAAAACUUCACCACAACAACCAAUCCAAAAUUAUAUGGUGACUGAUUGACAAGGGGCGGGCGCUUACGUUCUUCCUGCAACAUGAGAAGGGAGGGAGGGACUCUCAGCAGGGAUGCAGUCUGGGACACGUAGUUGCAAACCUAGCGACUUUGUUGUUAGAUUCAAUGACUUUUCAGACCCCCUAACGACUUUUUUAGAAAGAAAGUGACUUUUAUCGACUUCUUCUGGAGUUUAGAGACUCUGACAUGAAGCAGGCUUUCCUUACUGAGGAGUUAGCAACGCUGCUAAGGGUGCAGAGCCACACAUGCACUCAGAGCUCUGCAUGGGAGACUGAAGCUGACAGAGCUGCAGCAGUUAGCAGGUUUCACCCUCAGAGACCACCAGGGGUUCAUGUUGAGGCAUUUUCAGUUUUUUUUUUUUUUUUUGCCAUAGACACUGUCAGCACAAUCUGCAGUUACACUAACAAAAAUGCUGCAAAAAACAAAGAAUUAUGGAAAAAUUACACAUGGACUGACAUAGAGGAGGAUCUACACAAGUUUUUUACAUCAUGUUUUACAUCAUGCAUCAUUUACAUCAUGUUUUUUUGUAGUGGCAUAAAUAAAAAGUGACAUUUGUGAGACUAUACAGUGUUUUGUAAAUAAUUUUACAAAGAACGCCUGGGCCAUUGCCUGCAUUUUGAUGUAAAUAGAGGUAAAUUACUAUGUUCUUUGUUAAAAAUUUGCAUAUGUUUUGAAGUUUACAAUUUUUAUUUGAAGUUUAAGUUUUAAAAACAGUUCAUCACACAUAUUUGUGGUUUAAUUUCACAUUAAUUUCCAUAUUGUAUAAAUGACUGGAAAAAACUUGAGCCCCUGCCCCUGUAUAAUCAUGUGCACGUCCCUGUUCUAGCUCCAAGGUGAAUCUUCACUGCUCAUGUUCUCCUCAGAAAUAGUCACCUCACUCCCCUCAGGUUACUGUACACAUGCACCAACUAUCUGCUUCAGGUUUGAAAUGGAGCUUCAUGGUUGUCUUUUGGAGAAAUGAACAGUCAAGUUGUGUUUGAAAUUUGAUUUUUUUCAGGGGCAAAAGGAAGCCUCUGCAUUCUUGUCAAAUAUGUAAACAGCAUGUUUUUGCAGGUGCUAAAAAACAGACUCUGAGUGUGUGUGUGUGUGUGUGUGUGUGUGUGUGUGUGUGUGUGUGUAUGUUGGCGUGUGUGUAUAUGUGUGUGUAUCCUGCAGUACUCUGUACUCCUGCAGUGGCCAAAAAGACUUUUAAGAAUGUGGAUUUUUGGGUCAUCUUUGGCGCCCCCUAGAACUGCAGUACUCUGUACUCCUGCAGUGGCCAAAAUGACUUUUAAGAAUGUGGAUUUUUGGGUCAUCUUUGGCGCCCCCUAGAACGUAAACCGUGGGGUGCAGCGUCAUGAUUUUUACAACUUUGAAUGGGCAUGGGGUGUAGAUUGCCCUGAGCAAAUUUGGUAUCGGUGGGACGAAAGCCUUAGGAGGAGAUAGCCACAUUCCAAUGUGUGCGAAUCGGCAAAAAAUGCAAAAUAGCCCUUUAACCGUACAUUAUACAGAUACGCGCUCUUUGACUUUUUCGUAGAUCUAAUUGAGAUACACAUGAUUGUCAAUUUUUGUGUCAAUAUGACAAACCGUUCAGGCGUGACACUCAACAAUGUGUAUUUUUAUGUAAGGGGACAAGAAAAAAUUGACUUUUUUCUCCUACCAUGGGGGGGCGCUCUUUUGGGGAGUAAAAAUUCCUUCACAAAUGUGUUGAUGGCUGGACAUUGCAUCAUCCUAGAAAACUUGGAGGCCAGUGAGGACAAAAAUAAAAAGUUAUAAAACAUUUAAGAAUGUGGAUUUUUGGGUUAUUUUUGGCGCCCCCUAGAACCUAAACCAUGGGGUGCAGCAUCAUGAUUUGAAUAACUUUUAAUGGCCAUGGGGUGUAGAUUGGCCUGAGCAAAUGUGGUGCCGGUGGAACGAAAGCCUUCGGAGGAGUUAGCGAAAUUCCAAUGUGUGCGUAUCGGCAAAAAAUGCGGAAUAACCCUUUAACUGUACAUUUGACAGAUACGCGCGCAUGGACUUUUUUGUAGAUCUUAUUGAGUUACAUGUGUGUGUCAAUUUUUGUGUCAUUUUGACAAAGCGUAUAGGCGUGACACUCAACAAUGUGUAUUUUCACCUUAGGGGACAAGAAAAAAUGGACUUUUUUCUCCUGCCAUGGGGGGGCGCUCUUUUGGGGAGUAAAAAUUCCUUCACAAAUGUGUUGAUGGCUGGACAUUGCAUCAUCCUAGAAAACUUGGAGGCCAGUGAGGACAAAAAUAAAAAGUUAUAAGACUUUUAAAUAUGUGGAUUUUAGUGUUAUCUUUGGCGCCCCCUAGAACCUAAACCUUGGGGUGCAGCGUCAUGAUUUUGAUAACUUUUAAUGGCCACGGGGUGUAGAUUGGCCUGAGCAAAUGUGGUGCCGGUGGAACGAAAGCCUUCGGAGGAGUUAGCGAAAUUCCAAUGUGUGCGGAUCGGCAAAAAAUGCGAAAUAACCCUUUAACCGUAAUUUUGACAGAUACGGCCGCACUGACUUUUUUGUAGAUCUUAUUGAGAUACAUGUGUGUGUCAAUUUUUGUGUCAAUAUGACAAAGCGUACAGGCGUGACAGUCAAUAGUGUGAAUUUCCACCUUAGGGGGCGCUAUGGAGCCAUUUUGCAUUUUAUUGUUUUGGCGACUUCAGAAUAUCGAAUUUUUCACCAGGCCCGGUCGUCCUGCCAAAUUUCAUGAGUUUUCGCCAGUGGGAAGUGGGCCAUUUUCCAGUUCAAAGGGGAGGAAAAAGAAAAACUAGGGCCCCGGUGGGGCACUGGCGGGCCCGAGCCGUGUCGCGCCGCCCCCAGCGCGACCGCCUACCCCUCCCGAUCGCGUCACACUCAAGGUCCAAAGAUGGUGUGCGCACUUGUCUGUGGUCAUUUACCAUUAUAAUGAAUGGGAGGCGCAGUUUCUACCAAAACGCUCGCUGCAGGUCCUUUUGGAAAAAACUCUGGACCAUGAGUGAGGGCACAAACACAGCUAGUAUAUAUCCAAAUGGCAAGUUGCUCCUCCUUUCGGUUUUGCCGAGAGAGCGAUGCGUUUGAGCCAUAUGGAUGGGCAGGAAAAACUUGACUUUUUCUCCUGCCAUGGGGGGGCGCUCUUUUGGGGAGAAAAAAUUCCUUCACAAAUGUGUUGAUGGCUGGACAUUGCAUCAUCCUAGAAAACUUGGAGGCCAGUGAGGACAAAAAUAAAAAGUUAUAAGACUUUUAAAAAUGUGGAUAUUUGGGUCCUCUUUGGCGCCCCCUAGAACGUAGACCGUGGGGUGCAGCGUCAUGAUUUUUACAACUUUGAAUGCACCAACUGCCUGCUUCAGGUUUGGAUGGAGCUUCAUGGUUGUCUUUUGGAGAAAUGACCAGUCAAGUUGUGUUUGAAAUUUGAUUUUUUUCAGGGGCAAAAGGAGACUCUGCAUUCUUGUCAAAUAUGUAAAUAGCAUGUUUUUGCAGGUGCUAAAAACCAGACUCUGAGUGUGUGUGUGUGUGUGUGUGUGUGUGUGUGUGUGCGUGUGUGUGUCUGUGUGUGCGUUCAAGUCACAUGACAUAUUUAACCGGAUGUAGCUGCAAGACGGAGCCUCGUUGACUCUCCAUUUCAACUUAUCUCAAAAGUGAGGACCUCAACCUAUAUACCAGUUUUUAAAUUGUGUUGAUAGGCCAAAUAAAACCAGAGUUAUGAUAAAUUAUGUCCGCGAUACUUUUUUUCUGCUUAUUUUGAUCACGUUCGGCGCUCGAUCGCGCUGUAUGAGACAGGAAAACAUAGCAUGCAGACAUUAGCGACAGGUCUUACAGGCGGAAAAGGCUUGCCAAAAGAAAAAAAAAACACACCACAACAUCUCUCCUAUUGGUGGAAAACUUCACCACAACAACCAAUCCAAAAUUAUAUGGUGACUGAUUGACAAGGGGCGGGCGCUUACGUUCUUCCUGCAACAUGAGAAGCGAGGGAGGGACUCUCAGCAGGGAUGCAGUCUGGGACACGUAGUUGCAAACCUAGCGACUUUGUUGUUAGAUUUAAUGACUUUUCAGACCCCCUAACGACUUUUUUUUAGAAAGAAAGGGACUUUUAUCGACUUCUUCUGGAGUUUAGAGACUCUGACAUGAAGCAGGCUUUCCUUACUGAGGAGUUAGCAACGCUGCUAAGGGUGCAGAGCCACACAUGCGCUCAGAGCUCUGCAUGGGAGACUGAAGCUGACAGAGCUGCAGCAGUUAGCAGGUUUCACCCUCAGAGACCACCAGGGGUUCAUGUUGAGGCAUUUUGAAUUUUUUUUUUUUUUUGUGCCAUAGACACUGUCAGCACAAUCUGCAGUUACACUAACAAAAAUGCUGCAAAAAACAAAGAAUUAUGGAAAAAUUACACAUGGACUGACAUAGAGGAGGAUCUACACAAGUUUUUUACAUCAUGUUUUACAUCAUGCAUCAUUUACAUCAUGUUUUUUUGUAGUGGCAUAAAUAAAAAGUGACAUUUGUGAGACUAUACAGUGUUUUGUAAAUAAUUUUACAAAGAACGCCUGGGCCAUUGCCUGCAUUUUGAUGUAAAUAGAGGUAAAUCACUAUGUUCUUUGUUUAAAAUUUGCAUAUGUUUUGAAGUUUACAAUUUUUAUUUGAAGUUUAAGUUUUAAAAACAGUUCAUCACACAUAUUUGUGGUUUUCACUGUAAAAAUGUUACUUUUUUCCACUCGGAUUUUAUGUUUUGUGUGUGAAUUUGGGUCCAUUGUGUAAAUUCAGUAUGUCAACAUGAUAAAAUAACUGUAAAUUCGCACAGGUGAGGUUGUGCUGAAAAAAAUGAUACCAGGCAAGGCACGUGAUUGUCAAAUUUUGUGUCAAUAUGACAAAGCGUAUAGGCGUGAAUCUCAACAAUAUGUAUUUUCACCUUAGGGGACAAGAAAAAAUGGACUUUUUUCUCCUGCCAUGGGGGGGCGCUCUUUUGGGGAGUAAAAAUUCCUUCACAAAUGUGUUGAUGGCUGGACAUUGCAUCAUCCUAGAAAACUUGGAGGCCAGUGAGGACAAAAAUAAAAAGUUAUAAGACUUUUAAAUAUGUGGAUUUUAGGGUUAUCUUUGGCGCCCCCUAGAACCUAAACCGUGGGGUGCAGCGUCAUGAUUUGAAUAACUUUUAAUGGCCAUGGGGUGUAGAUUGGCCUGAGCAAAUGUGGUGCCGGUGGAACGAAAGCCCCGUUGGGGCACUGGCGGGCCCGAGCUGUGUUGCGCCCCCCCCCCCCCCCCACAGCGCUGCCUCCCCGUCCCAUUCGCGUCCUCUGGCCAUCGUCCUCUCUGGUAACGCCCAUCACUGCAAAGACCCUUUUCCUUCAUCGGCGUUUGCUGUUCUUCCUGCCAGUGCGUGUGGCUUUCACUUACACUUGCCACAGCCAGCCUCGUGAGUGCCUAGCCUAUUGGAUAUCACUGUCACCUACACAGGACAGUCAUUACCUUUCUAUUAAUACUUUGUUUUUUAAUUUCACAUUAAUUUCCAUAUUGUAUAAACAACUGGAAAAAACUUGAGCCCCUGCCCCUGUAUAAUCAUGUGCACGUCCCUGUUCUAGCUCCAAGGUGAAUCUUGACUGCUCAUGUUCUCCUCAGAAGCAGUCACCUCACUCCCCUCAGGUUACUGUACACAUGCACCAACUGCCUGCUUCAGGUUUGGAUGGAGCUUCAUGGUUGUCUUUUGGAGAAAUGAGCAGUCAAGUUGUGUUUGAAAUUUCAUUUUUUUCAGGGGCAAAAGGAAGUCUCUGCAUUGUUGUCAAAUAUGUAAAUAGCAUGUUUUUGCAGGUGCUGAAAAACAGACUCUGAGUGUGUAUGUGUGUGUGUGUGUGUGUGUGUGUGUGUGUGUGUGUGUGUGUGUGUGUGUGUGUGUGCGCGUGUGUGUGUGUGUCCGUGUGUGUGUGUGUCUGUGUGUGUGUGUGUCUGUGUGUGUGUAUCCUGCAGUACUCUGUACUCCUGCAGUGGCCAAAACGACUUUUAAGAAUGUGGAUAUUUGGGUCAUCUUUGGCGCCCCCUAGAACGUAAACCAUGGGGUG